UUGAUGUAGUAUUAAUUGGACCUUUUUCUCUGCAUGAUCAUCGGUAUAUGCGUAGCUUCGGUAUAAUAGAUGUUGGUGAAAUCGUCUAUGUAUGCAUGCACUCAUGUUGUAUUUGGCGUUAAGCAUUUCAUUGUGCUGGCAACAAUUGGCGUAUCAAUGUUGCAUGGAAUAACCAGUCCAUCAGGGAUGAGUUGAGGCCCUCCUUAAUUUUGAUGUCUUGGUUCACUUGGGAGUCAAAAAUCGCCAUUUGCUUAUGGAACAGACCCACACGCUGCGCACUUGUAUGAGCGAGAAAGGCCUUCAUGACUAGUCACUUUAGCGCACAUGCUGACAUGCAUGUAGCUUUCUAGAAGACAUGCAUAAAGUGAGCAGCAUGAAAAUACCCUUUGGCUCCCGCAUGUAUACACACUAUAUAUGAUGAUUUUUUUUAAUAAUUAAACAAAAAGUCAAAAUAGCUCAAAAGUAUUUUUAGAUUAAACUUGACUUACUUGCACACUAGUAUAUAAAUUUUCACAAAAAAAAACAAUGUUGACUUUGCAGAGAAAAAGAUAAAAUAUAUUUGCUAUUAUAGGUCACUAUUCAUGCUAUUUUGACCGAAAAUUUGUCUUUUUUUGAAAAGAAGUCGAAGAGAAAUUUUCUUUUUGUGAAACUUUUCACACUAGUACAAUGAAAAGUCAAGUUUAUUUCAAAAAUAUUUUUAGAAAAUUUUGACUUUUUAUUGAAUUGCUAUUUUUUUUCCCAUAUAGAGUACAUAUGUACUCAGGAAUCAAACUUCCCCUCCGUGAGCAGCAGGGCAAAUCAGCAAUGGCAGGCUACGUGCAUGUUCGGGCUUGCAAAAUGGACAAAUGGUCCGCGGUAACAUGCUAAUGUACAUAGGUCAUCUUCGUCUUGGGCUUCUUCUUUCCAUCUUGUGUUUCUUUUGCGACACAAAAUUAAACAACUAACUGUGGCUUCCAAACUUAUGAGUAUUCGGCGGUGAAUUACGGGCUAUUGCAUCCCAAUUUGCAGGCUAGGAGUAAGCUUUCUCGGAGAUCUUCAGCCCCUGCCGAGACGGCAUCAGCAUUUCAGCAACCUGCUCGAGUCUUGCCGUGUCUACGCCUAUGAAAUCACUCUAUGAUCUCUGACAAUAACUCCACAACCACCUGAAAAGAGUUCAUCUGAAAAGGCUGCAUCAACGUUCGGAAUUUUAUGGCCAGGGGUGUGGCUUCUUCUAGUUUUUCAGACGUGAGAUGGGCUUCAUGUUUAGCUGCUCCCAUUCCCCGUUAGGUGUACAAACUAAAUAACAGAGGUCUUCACUGAUAACCGUUGGUUAGCUGAAUAGUUUGACACGAGUAGUACUCCCUCUGUCCCUAAGUGUCUCAACUUUAUAUUAAAUUUGUGUCAUACAGAAAACUAUUGUGUAUGUAGUAAAAAAGCCUUUCGCCCCGCUUUAUAUAUAAAGCAACAUCCUCAACAACCCGGUACAAACACCCGCCAACACUACACACGUACACAUGAAAGGCAGAAUACAUACGCGCUGAGCACAACAACAACACCCCUAGCGCUACAAGAGCAACCGGGGUCCUCAAGCAUGAACACGCCACCGGGAAGAUAUGAAGCAGCAUGCGACAAACCGUAGGCUCCAAGGCGACGCCUCCAGGAAGGAUACGACACCGGGGCGCCGCCACCGCCCGACCCGACGAUCAGAAUUUGCUCUGGAGCAAUACAACAGGCAAUGAUAGCCGCAACGAUGCCUUCAAGAAGGGAACGAGCUUCCGAACGCCACACCCCGGCGACCACGUGGCCCACACGGCCAUGACCAUCGGGCAGCACCUAACCACGGGCUCUGCUAAUGAGCACCGCGGAACCACCACCAGGGCUGCCGCCCCGACAUCCAAGACCUUGACACCACCUCACUCGAGACCCGCCGCUACCCAACCAAAGAUACGAGCGGAAAGGAGCCUUUCGCACCCUUGGGCUGCCCUAAAGCUGAAACCCAAUAGACCGGCCAAAACUGGUCUCCAUCUACCCGUCAUGUGGCACCGGAUGCGAGACGCGGUCAGUCCUGCUGUUGGGCGCAAGACGAGGUCGAUCCUGCUGUCGGGCGUGAGACGAGCGAUGGAACGUAGCCAGGGGAGGGUCGAACCUUCAACGACGAUAGCGACCAGACGACGAGGACAGGGACUGUAGGUCAAAAUGGACUGCCUACAAAUGAGCCAACGCCAGAAAACCAGUUGUCGCCGCAGCCAACCCGCCGAACUGCCAUGAUAUCGGCUCAGUGAAUGGAAGCCGCCACGCCCAGUGGGCUGAGUCACCUCGCUGCUGCCGCCCACAGUCGGAGCAGCCUCCACGCCGGGCCGCUACCCCAACCAAUGUCGCCCACCGAAAAAAUGCAUCAGAUUCGGAUGGCACACACCCACUACCACCAGCCCCAGCCAACCUCCAGCCCCCGACCGAAACCAGAGGAGAGGAAGGGGGAUACCCACACCGCUACGCCGCCACCUCCGCCAGUAGAUCACCACCGCGAGGACGACCGCCCGCAGCCCGCACCCACCGCGUCUGGGUCUGGUAGCCCGCCUUCACCACACCGGUCGUGCAUCACCAGGGCAUGGCCCGUCAUGCUGUCACCGCACCCGCGCGCCACCACCAGCGCCGAUGCGACGCCAUAGGGUGGAGCCCCACAGAAACACCACCACCAGGUCGUGGGCCGUCGGACCGCGCCGGCCACCUUGCACGAAGAGACGAGAGGGGCCCUGUCGCCGGCGGCGGCGAGCGAAGAGGAGGCAGGAGGAGGGGGCGUUGGCGUAAGCGGUGCGGUCGCCCUCCCCGUUGCCCGCGGGAGGGGAUAAGGUUCCACCGUGGUGGCCUGCCGCCACCAAAUCUGCUCUUUCUGUCAACACUGGUUCACUGUGUAUGUAGACCCAGUUCUUUUGCCAGAUUCUUCUAGAAUCUGGCCCCUACCCAUUUAUUUUACAAUUCUAUCUAGUUAGGGUCUAAUUAGGUAGGAUUGUAAAAUAAAAGAGGGUCAAAGAUUCUAGGAUAAGCCAGAGAGGGGCAGAUCUGCAAAAGAGCUGGGCCGUAAGCUCAUGCUCUGCGUUUGUGGGCCUUCGGCGACUAAUGAGUUGCUACAUGUGCCAUUGGCUUCAUAUGGACCAUGCAAAUUUCAAAAGACCAAACCAAAGUGAACUCUCUGCUGUAUGCAUCAUUUCUACUUGAACAUCUGUAGCCAUCUGCAGAAAAGUAAACUACGCCUCUAACUGUACACUACUACCGCAAAUGGAAUGGACUGGCCUAUGAUUUUUUUUGAGAAUUACUGGGCUAAGAGCCGGAUCCCCUGACGUACGGCCACCUGACGUUGGGCCACUGACGCGUGGGUCCGGGUCCACACGUCAGCGAGUGCGCCGUACGUCAGAGGAGCUGCGUCCGGGUGGGUGGUAGCUGGCAAUGGCAGCAGUAAUGAGCAAGGCAGGCGGGAGCUAAAACGAGCUGAGAGCACCUUCAGCCGGACAUGGUUAAUCCGACCUCUCAAACGCCCGUGCGUCGUCCGCGGACGCGCCCGGACGCGUUCGCGGACAGUGAACGGUCAUACCUCAAAAAAUGCAUUUCACAUUCGGAUAUCUUAAAUUAGAAAUCUUAAAUUCAUAUUAUUAAAUGCAACGUGAAACCUAAAGCGGAGCUCUCCCCGUUCCGCUCUCCGCUCGCCCGGCUAUGCCCCGGCCAUGUCCGAUGGCCGGCUGUGCUCCUCAGAGUUUUGGUUCGGUCGCCGACAAGGUAGAGUAGGGCAUGUAACACAAGCCGGCUCACGGGACUCAAGGCGCCGCCGGGUCCCAUGCCCAACUCUUGGUCGUUGGAGCCCGGGAACCAGAAAGGUGUCGGUGGAUGUCAGAUCGAUGACAUAUUCGUCCUAGGAUGAGUCGCGGACGUCGAGGACGAUGUGGUUGCGGCGCCCGGACUGAUGCGCCAUACAGUGCGCCGGAGAAUGCGACUCCGUCUCACCGACGUCCACCGCCGUGAGGGCUGCUGCCGUCUCCCACGUCCGGUGCCUUGCACGGGGGGCACGUCGUGCCAUGGCCUCGUCGGACGAGGCCCAUCGUGUGUGCCCAUGCUCGGCGCGUCAACGGAGGCGUUGCGCGGCCGCCAGCGCGUUCGGACGCCAGAAGGACCGCACGGCCUCCGGCGAGGCAGUUACAGCUGGCCUAGCGCUUGAUCCAUGCGUCAUUUGGGCGGACGCAAUGGAUUUCCAACGGAAGGAGUCCGAGCGCGGCCAUGCACGGGCCUCUUUCCGGGCGCGAUGGAGCAUAAGCUGGACGUCCAUCUCCUCUUUGGGGCAGCGUGGGAUGAGCUCGGGGGUCGACGGAUCUGAAGGUGAAGGACUUGGAUCCGCUGCCCACCAUGCCGGAGACGGCUGGAAGAAGCCCGAGACGAGCUUGGGUGACGGAGGAGAGUGGAGGGAAGGGGAGUGAAAUGGCUGUCCGGCGAGCGGAUGGGGAGAAAUUUAUGUGGGGUUAGAUGGAUCAGCGCGUGACCCAUGCCCAACAUGGCGGGCUUGCCGGGGCGCAUCCGGGCGCCCCUUAUCCGUCCAGUAUUUCGGCUUGAUAUGAGGGAUGGCAUUCAGUCCGGGCGUUUGGGGGCUGUUUGAGUGGCCACUUGGGCUAAAAAAUCAUGACAGAAUAGUGAACGAGCCGCUUGAGUAUAAAGCGGGUUUGAGGCGCCCAGCUGUAGAGGCUUAAGCUAGCCUUUUACGCGCUGCCCGGGUGCAACACCCCCGUGCUUUCCUGUGUCCCUGCAACGUCGCUGCCAUGAGACGAUAUCACAUGCCGCCGCACCGGACUCUAGACCGCGGAAACUGCUCGACACGUCGCGUCGUGGGUGUUGGGCGUCUCAUCGCAGGCUCGCCACAGCGUUGCUCGACUCGGUAAAGGGGAGGAGCACACCAAGUCUCUAGACGAGAAACAAGAAUUCCUUACUGUGCAACUCCAGUCUGGGCAGCGCGGGCCGACGCGAGCGUCUCACCAAGGUUCCACGAAGCGUUGCUCGGUAUAUGUGGGAGGGGCACACCAAGCUUGCAAGCAAACAGGAAGCGCCGACCAGUUGACGCACGGUGAGUGAAUUCCAUCUUCAUCUUGGUCUUUGUAAGACAAUAGGCUUUGGGGGGAACCGGCACAACCCUCUAGGGGUGGCCUAUCACACACACACACAUAUAUAUAUAUAUAUAUAUAUAUAUAUAUAUAUAAUAAGGUGGUAUACAACGUUACAAUAUACACAUGUAAAUACAGUCUAACACCCUCCCUCAAUCUUAGCCACUUUCUAAUGAAUCUAGAAGGGUAAGAUUGCGCCUGCAAGUCUCAAACUGUGGCAAAGACAAUGGCUUGGUGAAGAUGUCAGCAAGUUGAUCCUUGGAAGAAAUAAACUUGAUCUGUAGUUGCUUCUGAGAGACACGUUCACGCACAAAGUGAUAGUCAACUUCAAUGUGUUUCGUUCGGGCAUGGAAUACCGAAUUUGCAGAAAAGUAUGUAGCACCGAUGUUAUCACACCAAAGAACAGGAGGCUGUGUAUGGGGUAUACUUAACUCCUGAAGCAAGGACUGUACCCAGAUGAUCUCUGAUGUGGCAUUGGCCACAGCCUUAUACUCAGUCUCAGUACUGCUACGUGAGACAGUAGCCUGUUUCCGAGCACUCCAGACAAUCAGGUUAGAGCCAAAGAAGACAGCAUAACCCCCCGUGGAUCGCCUGUCAUCCGGAUUGCCAGCCCAGUCUGCAUCAGAAUAUGCUGAAAGACAACCAGAGUCAGACGGCCGAAUAUGCAAACCAUGAGCCACCGUGAAACGAAUAUAGCACAAAAUCCGCUUAACAGCAGACCAAUGAGUGUCACGGGGUGACUGCAGAUACUGGCAGACUCGGUUAACAGCAUAGGAAAUGUCUGGUCGCGUGAUCGUCAAGUACUGGAGCCCACCAACAAUACUCCUGUACUCUGUCGCAUCAGAAGAAGAAAGAAGCACACCAUCAACAUCAUUGAGCUUAUCAGUGGUAGACAUGGGUGUAGUCGUCGGUUUGCACUUAAGCAUCCCAGCUCGCUGCAACAAAUCCAGAGAGUACUUCUUCUGCGUCAUAACAAGGCCAGCAGCACGAGAAGUAACCUCCACACCAAGAAAGUAAUGAAGCUUCCCAAGGUCCUUGACCGCAAAAUCAGCACCAAGUGAGCGAACAAGCGCAGUAGCAGCCGACUGAGAGGAGCUGACCAAAAUGAUAUCAUCUACAUAGACCAACAAGUACAUAGUAACCUCAGGCCUUUGAAGAAGAAACAAUGAGGAGUCAGCAGUUGAUGAUGCAAAACCAUGAGCACGAAGAGCCAUUGCAAGACGAGCAUGCCAAGCACGAGGAGCCUGCUUCAGACCAUAAAUUGCCUUGGACAGACGACAGAGAUGAUCAGGGCGAUCCGGAUCAGAGAAACCCGGAGGCUGGCGCAUGUAAACCUCCUCCGCCAAGACACCAUGAAGAAAAGCAUUUUGAACAUCAAGCUGACGAAGAAACCAACCUCGAGUAACAGCCAGAGAGAGAAGAAGUCUGAUGGUAGUAGGCUUGACCACUGGAUUGAAGGUGUCUUCAUAGUCAAGUCCAAAACGCUGUCGAAAACCACGAGCAACCAGACGAGCCUUAUAGCGCUCAAUGGACCCAUCAGAAUGCCUCUUCACUUUGAAAACCCAUUUGGAAUCAAUGACAUUUACCCGUGAUUGUGGAGGAACAAGAGUCCAUGUCUGAUUGCGAAGAAGCGCUUGAUACUCCUGCUCCAUGGCCUCUCUCCAAUGGGGAAUGCGCAUAGCAGCUUGAUACGUGCGUGGCUCAGAGGAUGGAUCUGCGAGAGCAGCAGACAUGCACGCCGCUAACCAAGCAACUGUGCCAUCGUGACGUUGCUUAGGCUGAAAAAUGCCACUCCGACUGCGCGUAUGUGGACGUAGAGCAGCAGCAGGAGCCGGCGGAGGCGAAGGUGACGGAGACGUGACGGUCGCCGGAGAUGCAGGAAUCACCUCAGGCGAGCUCGGGACAGACGACUCCGGGCUGCAUGGCGAAGACUGGCCCGACGACAGGGGCUCAGAGGCCAUGGGCGAACCGAGAGUGGGCGAGGCCAGCUCCGGUGACACCGGCCCAGACGGCCUUGGCGAGGCGAGAGCAGGCGAGGCCGGCCCUGGUGAGAAGGGCCCAGUCACCCUGGGCGAGGCAGGGGCGGGCGAGGCCAGGCCUGGUGAUGACUGCCCCGACGCCCUGGGCGAGACGGGGACCGAGGAGGCCGGCCCAGUCGGCGGGGUUGCAGGGCGCGACGAUGGCGAAGGCAGCCCAGAAGCCAGAGGCGACCGGGCCAGGACGUUGAUCGGCCGUGCAUGAGCACGGAAAAUGAGGCCAUGCAGGGGCGCCAUGUGCUCCUCAUGCACAACAGAAGGUGCCGAGGAUGAAGGCGAUGGCGACGAAGAGGAAGAUGGCACUUCCAGAAUCUCCAAAUGAGCCCCACGACCAGUGCCUGCACCAUGGUUAGGCAACAAUAGAGGAGAAUAUGCAACAUCAUCAAAUUGGUCAGAAGCAACAGAGGAUGAAUGCAUGACAGGUGGCUCGGUAGUGGACACAGGGAGUUUGGCAAAGGGAAAAACAUGCUCAUCAAACACAACAUCCCGAGAGAUGUAGACACGAUUAGUGGGCACAUGAAGACAUUUGUAUCCUUUAUGAAGAGAGCUAUAACCAAGAAAAACACACUUCUUGGAACGAAACUCGAGCUUACGCUUGUUAUAUGGACGGAGAUGGGGCCAGCAAGCACACCCAAACACCUUGAGAAAGGUGUAGUCCGGUUGUUCAUUAAGGAGAACUUCAAUGGGAGUCUUCAUAUUCAAAACACGAGUGGGAGUACGAUUGAUGAGAAAACAUGCAGUGGUGAAAGCAUCACUCCAAAAACGAAACGGAACAGAUGCAUGGGCCAAAAGAGUCAGACCAGCUUCAACAAUGUGACGAUGCUUACGUUCUACUGAACCAUUCUGCUGAUGUGUAUGUGGACAUGCUAAACGGUGAGUGAUCCCAAGCGACUGAAAGAAGGAGUUGAGGUUGCGAUACUCGCCACCCCAGUCCGACUAAACAUGAACAAUUUUGUGCUUGAGAAGGCGUUCAACAUGUUUUUGGAACUGAACAAAAAUGUCAAACACAUCAGAUUUACGUUUGAUAAGAUAAAGCCAGGUAAAGCGGCUGUAAGCAUCAACAAAACUGAUAUAGUAAUUAUGACCACUAACAGAAGUCUGAGCAGGACCCCAUACAUCUGAAAACACAAGUUCUAAAGGAUGUUUCACCUCACGACUGGACUCCGAAAAAGGAAGUUGAUGACUCUUCCCCUGCUGACAAGCAUCACACACUGCUACAUCUUUAUUACUAGACACACUAGGAAGCUCAUGACGACGCAAAACAUGCCGGACAAUAGGUGUGGCCGGGUGACCAAGACGAGCAUGCCACUGUGACGGAGAUACCCGAACUCCACUGAAGACGCGAGCGACGCCAGGAUGCUCCAGACGAUAGAGACCUUGGCAGAGCCGCCCACUAAGAAGAAUGUCCCUCGUGCCCCGAUCCUUAAUAAAAAGAUCAAAAGGAUGAAAUUCACAAAGCACAUUAUUAUCACGAGUGAGUUUAGGAACUGAAAGAAGAUUACGUGUCACAGAUGGAACUCGAAGAACAUUGCAAAGUUGAAGACUCCUAUUGGCAUGUCUAGUGAGAAGUGAUGCUUGACCAAUAUGAGAGAUGUGCAUACCUGCUCCAUUGGCGGUGCGGAUCUUGUCGGAGCCAUGGUAGGGUUCACGAGUGUGAAGCUUCCCCAUCUCACUGGUCAGGUGCUCUGUCGCCCCAGAGUCCAUGUAUCAGUGGGGGUCAAUGGAGUAGGACUGAGUGUGUCCCUGCGGCUUCUGCGGCGGCGGACGAUCAGCCAUGGCGACCUGACGUGCAAAGUUGCGUGUAUCCUUCCCGUCAUUGCCGAGACCAAGAAAACCCCGCUGGAAGCGCUUGUGACACUUCGAGGCCCAGUGCCCAUCGCGACCACAAAGCUGGCACACACGUGGACCGCCAGCCCCUGGUAGCGUCGCAGUAGGAGGAGGGGCCGAGGCGGGUGGUGGUGACUGCCCCGAAGAAGCCCUGGAUGAAGCAGAGGAGCGACCACCCUUGGUGGCGGCGUUUGCCGAGAGGGCGCCGUUGCCCCUGGAUCGGCGCGUCUCGACUCGUUGCUCAGUAAGCAGGAGGCGUGAAAAGACCUCGUGUGCUGGCAUGGGCGUGGAGUUGCCCCUCUCAUUGAUGAUCUCGACUAGGGCGUCAUACUCCUCAUCAAGACCAUUGACAAUAAACGAGUUGAACUCGGAGUCGGUGAGGGGCUGUCCAAUGGAGGCCAGCGUGUCGGCGAGACUCUUGACUUUGUUGUAGAACUCAGUGGCGGUGGAGUCAAGCUUCUGACACUCCCCAAGUUGGCGACGGAGCCCAGAUACACGAGCCUGCGACUGUGCCGCAAACGAGCGCUCAAAAAUAGUCCAUGCCUCGUGGGACGUCUUGGCGAAGACAACAAGCCCAGCAACGGCCGGAGAGAGCGACCCCUGGAUGGAGGAGAGGUUCGCCUGAUCCUGCCCUGUCCAGACACGGUGAGCCGGAUUAUAGACCGGACCGUGCACGCUGUCAACCAGCGCGGGAGGGCAAGGGAGAGAGCCGUCGACAUAGCCAAGCAGAUAGUGACUCCCAAGAAGCGGAAGAACCUGCGCGCGCCAGAAGAUGUAAUUGUCCGACGACAACUUGAUGGUGAUGAGAUGGCCGAAGUGAAACGGCGGCGGCGGCUGCGAUCCCAUCGAGGAGACUGGCUGAGGUGAGACCACCGUGGAGACAGUCAGAGGGGCAGCCGGCGCGGUGACAGAGGGCGCGAUGGCCGCGUUUGACGCCGCGAAGCCUGCCAGCGCGACGUCCUCCGCCACCAGCGGCGCAGUGGUCGAGGGCACGACAGCCGCGGUUGACGGGGCGGCGGCGGUGUGGGCCACAAGCGCCUGCCCGGGCGAAGUAGCAGCCGGCGGGAGCGCGAAGAGGGAGCCGACGCUCCGUGUCCCGAUCGGCGCCUGAAGGGAGGCGGCAUCCAGCGGCCUCGAGAGAAGUGCCGCGAGGGAGGCCGGCAGAAAACCGGUGGCGGUGGAGCCGGACGCAGCGGCGGACGUCAUAGCAGUCGGGCGACGGCGACGGCGGGCGCCGCGGCGGCGGCGGCGUCGGCGGCGGUUUAGGGUUUUAGGCGGAAGCGGACGUAACCUAGCGUGAUACCAUGUAAGACAAUAGGCUUUGGGGGAACCGGCACAACCCUCUAGGAGUGGCCUAUCACAUAUAUAUAUAAUGAGGUGGUAUACAACGUUACAAUAUACACAUGUAAAUACAUUCUAACAGUCUUCUUCUUCCUCUGCCUUCCCUGUGCGUACCUUUCUUGCUGAUAUCUUCCGGCCAGGCUCGAUCCAUGGACUCCUCGCAGAAACACCUUGGAUCCAUGGAUGCCAAGAUGCCUCUUCUGCUGUUUGUGACCCAGGCCAAGAAGCCGAUGGCCGCUUGUCCGCUCCAGGAUGCUACCCUCCUGGCCAGCGCUUGGGCGCUCGUCACCGCAGGCCUCUUCGCCGUCUCCUACGCCUUGGGCUCCCAAGUCGUGGACGCGCUCUGCAUCCAGCAGGUAACAACGACGGCUCCUGCUUCUAGUUCAACUACCCCGGCCCUUUGCCGGCCUGAUGCUGGAUCUACCACGCGCCAAGUUCGUCUUCCUCUUCGUGCAGCUGCCGUGGUGCGAUUUCCGCGAGGAGAACGCCGUGGAACGCUCCCUCCGGAUCGGCCUGUGGUGCUGCGCCGUGCUCCAGGCGGCCACGGCGGCGCUGGCUCUGCUGCUCCCGUGCCGGCGCCACCGCCGGAUCCGCCGUGCCGUUGCCUACCUCGCCGUCGCGGUCGCCAUCGUCAGCCACUGUAUUUUGGCCAGCCUCGUCCUCCUCUCCGCCGACGCAGGACUAGGGUACCUCUUGCUCAUCCCCUUGAUCGUCUACGCCGCGGCGGCGCUGGUGCUGCUACUCCCGUGCCGUUGCCUCCGGAUCCGCCAUGCCCUCGCCUGCCUCACCGUCGCGGUGGCGGUCGCCAUCCUCGGCUGCUGUAUUUUGGCGAGCUUCGUCCCCAUCGCUGCCGACACAGGACUAGGCUGGCUCAUUCUUUCGGUCGUCGGCCCGGCGUUCAUCUUCACCCUUGCGGUGGGCGACCUCAGCUUCCUGGCCCUCCUCCGGGGAGGGGAAUUCCCCUGGGAGUUCCGCUGAGGAGUAGCUGCUGAUCGGUCAGCCGCAAGCUCAUGCCCAUCGAUCACCUCAUGAGGUACUGACGCACAUAACGAUCGACUUGCAGGGAAUAUUAAUAUUGCGGUGCACUUCAUCUGCCUAGUAUUGGACCUUAAUAAUUUGAUGCUGAAUUAGCCUAUUAUUUGUGUGAUCGAGAUAUGCUAUUGAGUAGUACUCCCUCCGUUCGAAAUUACUUGUCUCAGAAAUGGAUGUAUCUAGAACUAAAAUACAUCUAGAUACAUUCAUUUCUACGACAAGUAAUUCCGAACGGAGGGAGUAGUAUUGAUGAACAAUCUAUAUAUAUGGAGUCUUUGAUGCAGUAUUAAUUGGACCUUUUCUCUGUACGAUCAACGGUAUAUGCCUAUCUUCGGUAUAAUUGAUGUUGAUGAUCUUGUUAUGCGCCACAUUCCUUGCACCUUAACUGUGCUAAACAAAAAUAGUCGACCAUAGCAAAUUUUGUUCAUUAAGCUACAAGCAUAUGACCGACGGACUAAUUCGCUAGGGUAUUGAGUUUUCUUCUCGUUGACAACAUGUUUCAUGUGUUGAGAGCUUUGGACUUUUGAUCGGUGAACUUUGCAUGUGUUUAGAACGGAUUCCCAUUCAACUGUGAGCCUCUCACUUUGUUAAAGCAAUUAGCUCGGAUGCUCUCGUAGUAGAUUGGUUUCAUUUCUUUCCUUUCAGGGUGGUUUAAGGUGAUAUGGAUGAUGGGGGCGUCUGUGCCAAUAUUUAUCUUCCUCGCCUUUUUCUUUUCUUGGGCCUUUGGAGCACAUGAUAUGGGUCAAGCUGAACCCAGUCUCAACAAAGAUAUAAAAAGCAGUGUAGUCAAAUCUACAAUGGCAGCUAAAUACAUGUUCGGGGUUGCAAAACGGACAAGUGGUCCGCGGUAACAUACUAAUAAUAUACAUAUGUUACAUACCGGUAGAUUGGAUUUGCAUUGUGUUUCGGGUUUUGCUAGAACUCAUCUAGAUGAGAUAUAAUUUGGUCUCAUUUACCUUUUAUAGCCAUUGGAUGUGAUGCUAUAAGAUGCGUGUGUGCUGACGUGGGUUGUAUGUGUUCUUGUUUUCAAAGUGAACGAGACCAAAUUAUAUCUCAUCUAAAUGAGUUCUAGGUACUCCCUUGUGUUUCACAUAAACUAUGACUAACAUAAAACACUUGGGGAAUUUUGAAGACUUCUAAUCCUUAGGAUUUUUUUCCUAUGUGAGCUGUUUGAUUCGUAGGAUUGUAAAACAUAGAAACUUUUCCAUAGGAUUCAUUUGCACUAGAUUUUAUAAAAAAUUUUCCAUCCACUCAAACCUCUUUGAAAAAAUCCUACGUUUUUUCCUGUGCACAAUCAAACAUUCAUACAAUCAUGUAGGAUUCAAGAUGACAUGUCAUCCCAAUCCCACGUUUUUUCUAUUCCUGCGUUUUGGAAAUCCUACGAAUUAAAGAGGCCCUUGAAGUGAACCAACACAGGCAGACAGCCCCGGCCCGUGUCGCCUACCCUAGGCGACACGGGCGGCAUCCCCCACAGCACCGCCACCGGAUCCCACCCUCCCACUCCUCCCCUCGCCGCCGCCGGACCCCACCCUCCCACUCCUCCCCUCGCCGCCGCCGGAGGCCACCACUAGGCAAAGCCUGCUGUGUCAUGGCCGCGGCGGCGGGGCCUCCUCCCGAGGCCGCAACGCCUCUCCGCCCCCUCUAUCCCCAACCACCUUGUCGGGAUCCUCAGCCGCCAAACACGUCGUUGGCGCGCUCNNNNNNNNNNNNNNNNNNNNNNNNNNNNNNNNNNNNNNNNNNNNNNNNNNNNNNNNNNNNNNNNNNNNNNNNNNNNNNNNNNNNNNNNNNNNNNNNNNNNNNNNNNNNNNNNNNNNNNNNNNNNNNNNNNNNNNNNNNNNNNNNNNNNNNNNNNNNNNNNNNNNNNNNNNNNNNNNNNNNNNNNNNNNNNNNNNNNNNNNNNNNNNNNNNNNNNNNNNNNNNNNNNNNNNNNNNNNNNNNNNNNNNNNNNNNNNNNNGACCACCCCGUCGCGAUCCUCCGGCCCAACCCCCCGUCAGUGCGCGGCUUCGGCGCUCCCCAGAUGUGUGACGCCCGGAUAAUUAAGCUACAGUAAUCACGGACUAAUGGUGCCACAUCACCACGAUUACUGUUGUUAACCUUGCGAUGAUUUGAAGCCGUUUCAAAAUUCAAAUUCAAAUUAAUGUCAAUAAUAAAAGUUUUCAAAAAUUAAAAUAAAAAUGUUCGGUUUGUACUAAAUAUUGCAUAGAUAAUUAUGGUGUAGAAGACACAGUUUUAUAAAAUGCAUAAAUAUUUUAAAUUGAAUUAAAACAGAAGAGAAAUAAAUAAAAGAAAGAAAAUACAAAAGAUACAAACAAACAAACCAAAAAAAAAGGAAAAGGAACCCCCCCAUCUGGGCCUCGGCCCAGCAGGCCGACGGACCGCCAGGCCGGCCCACCCCGGUCCCCCCUUAUCCCCCCACGCGACCAAACCCUAAACAACUACCACCCCCACUCCCCUCGUUCCCCCACUCUCUCUCGCCUGAUUCCCUCCCCAUCUUCCUCGCGCCGCCACACACUCAGCGGCGAGGGCCCUCGUGCCCGAACCCCCAUCGCAACCUCUCCUCUCCAGUGCUCCCCCGCGGCUCUCCGGUGCUCCUCAGGCGGGACGCAGCUGCCAUUCGUCGACGAGGCAACCACCGCGCCGGUGGUCUUCUUCUCCCUCGUUCUGGAUCGGGCACGACCCCCCCGACGCCACGACGUCAUCGCCGUCCCCGGUCGCCGGAGCCGCCCCUCGUCUACCUCCACCUCGUCGGACGCCUCACCGACCUCCUCCCCGCCGGCGCCAUCACGCCUCACCGCCGAACUCCCCUACAACAGGGUUGAGAAUCCCAUCCCCCUGCUUCCCUCUCCCCAUCGUCCCGCACGGCCAUCGCCAUGCUCAGCGCGCUGGCCGCCCCUGUUCCCCUGUCUCGCCCGCCGUUUCGUGCCUCCGUUGCCGCUGCUCGCCCGUCCACAGGGCUGCUGCUGUGCCUGGACGUCGCGCGUCACUGCACGCCCCCUGUGCACUCCGCUGGCGCUGCCGCGCCCCUUCCCCCACUCGCUCCAUGCCUCGUGUCCGCCCCUCCCAGCGCCAGCUGGCCGCCGGCCACCCGUCGACCAGGCUCCGGCCACGGCCUCGCCCACAGUCGUGGGUGUGUGUGCGUGUGUGUGGCCGGUUGUGCCCCUGACCACCGGGGCCCAGCCUCUGGAUAAGAACGAAAAACAAAUGAACAAAAAUAAGUGUUAGUUAAAAUAUUAGUAUGUUAAUUAAUUAGUUAAUUAAGUAAAUAGCAUAAUAUAACCAAGUGACAGAUGGGCCUCACUGUUAAUUAAGCAAGUUUUCCUAAACUAAUAGAGUUAUGAGUCAAUGACAGUGGAACCCACUUGUCAGGUUGACCAGGUCAACGGUCAAUGCUGACUGGGCUGUUGACCUUGACUGGCCCCACCAGUCAGCCUCUGCUGACUGGGCAGUUGACCAAGUCAACGGGGCCUACGGGUCAGCCACACAAGUCCAUCUCUGGCUACACUUCUGCGUACCCAUAGCAAUUUAACAUUUAAUUUCUGAAUUAAAAUAAUUUAGGAAAUGAUUAAAACCUUAGAAAAAUCAUAUAAAAUAAUCCAUAGCUCGGAUCAAAAAACUUUCUACAUGAAAGUUGCUCAGAACAACGAGACGAACCCGGCAUCGCAGCCCGUUCGUCCGCUACGCAUCCCUAGCAUAGUGAACCUACAACAUUUCACCUCCGGUUCAUCUGUCCAAAAACGCGAAACACUUGGGAUACUUUCCCGGAUGUUUCCCCCCUUCGUCGGUAUCACCUACUACCGCGAUUGGGCACACCUAGCAUCGUUACUUGUCAUGUCAUGCAUCGAUAUGCAUUCGUUUGCAUUGUAUUCAUUGUUUCUUCCCCCUCUUCUCUCCGGUAGACCACGAGACCGACGCUGCUGCUGCCCAGUUCGACUACGGAGUUGACGACCCCUCCUUCUUGCCAGAGCAACCAGGCAAGCCCCCCCCUUUGAUCACCAGAUAUCGCCUAUUCUCCUCUAUACUGCUUGCAUUAGAGUAGUGUAGCAUGUUACUGCUUUCCGUUAAUCCUAUUCUGUUGCAUAGCCUGUCAUUGUUGCUACAGUCAUUGAUACCUUACCCGCAAUCCUAAAUGCUUAGUAUAGGAUGCUAGUUUAUCAUCAUUGGCCCUACAUUCUUGUCAGUCUGCCUCGCUAUACUAUUGGGCCGUGAUCACUCGGGAGGUGAUCACGGGUAUAUACUAUACAUACAUACAUACUAUACAGAUGGUGACUAAAGUCGGGUCAGCUUGAUGAGUACCCGCAAGUGAUUCUGAUGAGGGGGCUGAAAGGACAGGUGGCUCCAUCCCAGUAGAGGUGGGCCUGGGUUCCCGACGGCCCCCGACUGUUACUUUGUGGCGGAGCGACAGGGCAGGUUGAGACCACCUAGGAGACAGGUGGGCCUGGCCCUGUUUGGCGUUCGCGGAUACUUAACACGCUUAACGAGAUCUUGGUAUUUGAUCUGAGUCUGGCCAUUUGGUCUAUACGCACUAACCAUCUACGCGGGAGUAGUUAUGGGUAUCCCGACGUCGUGGUAUCAGUCGAAGCCUUCGUGACAUCAGCAACUGAGCGGCGCGCGCCGGAUUGGAACGUAAGCCUGCUCUUCUAUUAAGGGGGCUAGUUCUGCUUCCGGCCGCGUUCGCAACGUGCAGGUGUGAUAAGGGCGAUGCGCCCAGACCCUUGUGCGCUUAGGUUUUGACCGGCGUGCUGACCUCUCUGUUGUGCCUAGGUGGGGCUGCGACGUAGUGUAGCUCCUUGCUUGCGAGUACUUUGGAUGAGUACUCACGGUUGCUUUGCUCCCUCUUUUCCCCCGUUUUCCUCUUCUUCUCGGAUGCCGCAACCAGACGUUGGAGCCCAGGAGCCAGACGCCACCGUCGACGACGACUACUACAAUAGAGGUGCCUAUUUCUACGUGCAGGCCGCUGACGACGACCAGGAGUAGUUAGGAGGAUCCCAGGCAGGAGGCAUGCACCUCUUUCGAUCUGUACCCCAGUUUGUGCUAGCCAUCUUAUGGUAACUUGUUUAACUUAUGUCUGUACUUAGAUAUUGUUGCUUCCGCUGACUCGUCUAUGAUCGAGCACUUGUAUUCGAGCCCUCGAGGCCCCUGGCUUGUAUUAUGAUGCUUGUAUGACUUAUUUUAUUUUUAGAGUUGUGUUGUGAUAUCUUCCCGUGAGUUCCUGAUCUUGAUCGUACACGUUUGCGUGUAUGAUUAGUGUACGAUUAAAUCGGGGGCGUCACAAGUUGGUAUCAGAGCCAGCUGCCUGUAGGAAUCCCCCUUUCCAACUCCUUGGCCGAAGUCGAGUCUAGACAAUAUAAAACUUUUACUAACAUGGCUGUGUGCCUUACGGGCCCACGUCGCCAUUGGGUGGUACUAGAAUCUUUUACUCCUUGUCUAUACUCUGGGACUCUGAUCUCUCCUCUAUUCGUGUUAAAUGAAUUUUACUAAAUCUAACAUUAGGAUCUCGUUAUCACUUUCACCCGGAGAGCCUCUUAUUAAUGAUGAUCAUCUGCGGCACGUGAAGACCCUGAAGAUACUCUCCGCUGUUAACCUGAGAACUUAUGUUCAUCGCAUUUGGAAUUCCCCUUCCACCGUCAACCCUUAUGGAUAACUACUUGCAGUUGUUAUUCUUACAUUCAUCCCCAGUUGGUCUUGUUAUUACCAGAUACCUCGAAACACUCGUCGUUGUUUCGAUAAUCCUUUGAGCUUAUCGCCUUGCUGUUCUUUGUCACCUGAAUACCCCUAAGGAUAAUUCUCGCACUUAUCGAGUAUCCGCUCAUCCCCCAGUUGUUCAUGUGUUUCACAAUGGUCUUCGAAAUACUAUUCGAUCCUCCAAAAAUCCUUAGUAACUUAUUGCUCUGUCAUACUUGUCUACUUGCAUGAUGGAUGCUUUCUAUAUGUCUGGCAAUAUUCGUUAGUAUCCUUAGGCAUCGUCAUUUUGAUCCUUUUGAUUCAACAUGAGUGCGAAUGCACGCAAUCAUCAGUUGAUCCUUUUAAAUUAUCUUCCCGGCUCGGACGUCAUUUUAAACAUGAGCUGGUUCUCAACCAAUCCAAAUGCCGUCGAUAGUACCCCUAAGGCUAUUCAACUUAUCCACCCCUAAUUAGAACAUUGCUUCUGUUCCCUUAAUUUGGAAAUCAUAAUUCCUUUGCAUUUGAGCUCUGGAUUAGUCAGUUGUUUCUAUAAUCCAAUGCCCUUGCAUUGUUACUUCCUCUGAUUGUGUGCUGAUGCUCACAUCAGCUCUGUUAUGGACCGACAGAUCCUUUAAUGGAUUUUAUCCGACAUUGUCCUUCAUAUUCAAUAACCUUGUGAGCCUUCCCUUGGAUAUAUAAUGCCUUUGGUAAAUUGUAUCAUCUGCUUUUGAACAAUGCUCUACUUUCGAGCUUGUAUUAUUUACUCCGAAGUUUGUGGUAUAUGUUCCUAAGAUGCCCUGAUGGGUUGAACCUAUGCCUUCCCUAAUCUGUGUGAACUCGAAAGAUUUCACGGGUCAAAUUAUCUGGUAUUGCACCAGGUAAAACUUUCAACAACUAAUGUCAUUUUCGAAAUACGAGAGGUGAAUGAAGGUUAUGCAUUAAAGAAGUGGGAGUCGACCUUGAACUUUGUGUUCAUGCCCAUGGACACGAUGUAGAUCCUAUCAUGGAAGCUUCUUGUAACUAUUUCCUUGAUAUAAUAUCCUUUGGUAUCGGUGAAUUGAUCCUUUGCAAUCGUGGUUCCGACCAUGUCCUCCUUUAAAUACCAUUUCCUGUGCAAGUUUAAGCACUUGUCUUCUAUAGAGCAAUACCCCAGUCCAACCUCUACUUGGAUCUGUUGUCGAGUAUUACCCCCUGGUAUCUCGAGAUUAUCAUGGAACUGCAUGACUUCUUAUGAGUUAUUCAUCAAGUGCUACCUUCCCACUGAUUCCAAUUUUUCACGGGCUCUGAGUUAUUAAACACUCAAAGACACCGAUGACUGAACCGAGUCCGCACUACGGUUCAACAUCUCUUCAGUAAGCUUCUAUAAGUACGAGUUUGUACCCGAUCACGCCAUUCCUAGCCUGUUUGGCUAUAUCAUUGUCGUGAUGAUUCUAACUGUGCUACCUGGUCCUUCUUCUCGGAGCACAAAUUUCGACGGUGAGCUAAUCUUACAAUCGAUCUUCCUCGUCAUAUCGUUCGCCUUGAACAACAAUCCUGAUUUCAAGUUUGUGUCCUACCCAUGGUUCCAAUAACCUUCCGCUACCUCAUUCCUUUGACUUAAUGUCAUCGCUGAUUGAUUACGUCUUCAUGGAAUCUCUCGACAAAUGUGUCGUGAUCAUCAUGACCGUUCUGAGCUCUUCUAGGAUAUCAUCUGAACUCAUGAUGACAAAUACCUUCCUUUCCCCUCGUUGAUUUGUGUUAUCCUUGCCAACAUUAUUGCCUUCCCUCCGAGGCAAACUUGUUCGUGUUUUGUGUUAUACCUUGAGUUCCUUGCUACCCAGCAUUGUUCUUCUUUACCUUGUAAUAUUACCACCUUUUAUGUCGAGAAUGUCGUGGGAAUUUCACCACCUCUUGAGAAUUCUUGGUAUGGUGAUACUUCUCACCAUCGCCAUUCUUCUUGGGUCCUCGUGUUGAUUCCAACCAGGGUACCAACAAGUGAGCGGUGCUGUUUGGAUUCCGCCCUUCUAGGAUCCAUAUUGCUUUGAAGUUAAUGGUCGACCGUUCAUUCUUAGACUAUUGAUUAUUGAAUCACCAUUCCAAUGUUGGUCGUGCAAUCCAGCCCAUAUUUCGGGUGCACCUUUCAACCAAUGUUUAAUUGUGUAUGUUUUCCUCGAGCAUACAUCAUUAUACCAUUUGAUCUGACAAAUGCUAUCUCCUUGUUCACAUAAUUGUGGAAAUCCACCUUUUUGGAAAUCUCAAGGAUUGUUACUUACUCCAUCAGCUACCCCGUCAUCCUCUCGUUGGUUUAAAUGAUGAACUCUUGAGUUGGAACUUGCUUCCAUAGUACAUUCCCCAAUAAUCUUACGAUGUCGUCUCGUCAAUUUGUCUUGCACCUUUUCUUCUCGGGCAUCUUGAGUCUGAGGUAUCCUGACACCAAUCAGAUCUGAAUCUCGGUCAGAUAUGGUGGCCGGGACAUAUUUCCUAGAGUUAUAACAUUAGCAUUUGACCCGAUAAGGUGAUGUCAUGCCUAGCACACCUGACCGGAGGACCUAUUGUUAUAAUUUUCCUUUUAGCAAUGUUAACCAUUCUUCCAAGAGGAAAUUGAAAGACUUAUUCUAUAAGCUGUUCCUGAUGAAUCCAUUGAGUAUCUAAAGUCCGACCUUUGCUUUAAGACCAUGUCAAUGCUAUCUCGAAGCAUGUCUGUGGUACUCCGAUUUUCAACAGGAACAUUUGAAGCACGAUGCUAAAUUUUAUUUAUCAUUUAUCCUAACACCAUUGUAUGGGUAAUAUCAUGAGAUUCCUCCCCCCUUACCUAAAUGGUUUUCUACUUUAUAUCCUGUCUUGGAUAUCAUCCUCUGCUUGACUUUGGGGAGGAUAUACCCCUGAUAUAUGUGUUUAAACACAUUUUCCUUUCCAUUGUUCUGAUUAAUUUGAUAAUCAUAUUAUCCUUUCCAUUGUUUAGUUUAACCUUUCUUGAGGUUUAUAUGAUCUAAGCAGUAAUAUUUUCCUGCUUACGAAAACACCUCGGUGUACCACCUUAUCAGUCAAACCCUGUUACUAUUGUUGAUGACAUUUCGGUAACCACCGAUGGACGGGAACAUUGCCUAUUGGUCCGCCUCGUUCAACGAGCGGGAAAAUGGUUCUCUUCGUCCCUCGCUCUUGGUACCGAUAUUGUUGCCGACAUAACUGAUAGGCUAUCCUCUGACAUGUCUUGCUAUCAUGACCGUACAAGAUGUCAACGCCCUUCCUACUCUUAACCACAUGGUGGGCCCAUAACCCACAGGUCCCAGGAUCGAAACGUGACUCUCCUAUACCCCAUGUUUCCAAAGUUAUUCCUCGCGCUUGGCUUCGUAUUUAAUUCAUGGGCCACAUUCCUAGUGCUCUAUACUUGUAUCAGACGCAAUACUUAAACUUGAUGCUUUGAACCCCUUUCACACUCUUUUUCAGGCAUCGAACGAUUGUCUAUCCGCUUGGAACUCCUUAAUGUACCUUCUUACCUUACUCUCGAUUUGUUCAACUCGAGAGAUACUCAUCUCUUCAUUCACGGGAAAACCCCAGAAGAUUACCCCUUAAGCAUUCUCUCGUAGCCAAGCUACCCCUUACCUAUUCGUAAGCACGAAGGAACCCCCGAAGAAAGGAUGACGACUUCACCAUGAUGACCUGAAGCAAAGAAAUGAAGACGUCAAUGUAAUGGAUCGACCUCUUCGAGAAGAGCAACCAAGGCCGAGAAGAUCCGUUAGGAUUUCGUAACUAGAACUUUCCCCCUUACACCCCUCUUAAAUCUCGGGACGAGAUUUCUUGUAGUGGAGGAGAAUUGUGACGCCCGGAUAAUUAAGCUACAGUAAUCACGGACUAAUGGUGCCACGUCACCACGAUUACUGUUGUUAACCUUGCGAUGAUUCGAAGCCGUUUCAAAAUUCAAAUUCAAAUUAAUGUCAAUAAUAAAAGUUUUCAAAAAUUAAAAUAAAAAUGUUCGGUUUGUACUAAAUAUUACAUAGAUAAUUAUGGUGUAGAAGACACAUUUUAUAAAAUGCAUAAAUAUUUUAAAUUGAAUUAAAACAGAAAAGAAAUAAAUAAAAGAAAGAAAAUACAAAAGAGACAAACAAACAAACCAAAAAAAGGAAAAGGAACCCCCCCAUCUGGGCCUCGGUCCAGCAGGCCGACGGACCGCCAGGCCGGCCCACCCCGGUCCCCCCUUAUCCCCCCACGCGACCAAACCCUAAACCGCUACCACCCCCACUCCCCUCGUUCCCCCACUCUCUCUCGCUCGAUUCCCUCCCCAUCUUCCUCGCACCGCCACACACUCAGCGGCGAGGGCCCUNNNNNNNNNNNNNNNNNNNNNNNNNNNNNNNNNNNNNNNNNNNNNNNNNNNNNNNNNNNNNNNNNNNNNNNNNNNNNNNNNNNNNNNNNNNNNNNNNNNNNNNNNNNNNNNNNNNNNNNNNNNNNNNNNNNNNNNNNNNNNNNNNNNNNNNNNNNNNNNNNNNNNNNNNNNNNNNNNNNNNNNNNNNNNNNNNNNNNNNNNNNNNNNNNNNNNNNNNNNNNNNNNNNNNNNNNNNNNNNNNNNNNNNNNNNNNNNNNNNNNNNNNNNNNNNNNNNNNNNNNNNNNNNNNNNNNNNNNNNNNNNNNNNNNNNNNNNNNNNNNNNNNNNNNNNNNNNNNNNNNNNNNNNNNNNNNNNNNNNNNNNNNNNNNNNNNNNNNNNNNNNNNNNNNNNNNNNNNNNNNNNNNNNNNNNNNNNNNNNNNNNNNNNNNNNNNNNNNNNNNNNNNNNNNNNNNNNNNNNNNNNNNNNNNNNNNNNNNNNNNNNNNNNNNNNNNNNNNNNNNNNNNNNNNNNNNNNNNNNNNNNNNNNNNNNNNNNNNNNNNNNNNNNNNNNNNNNNNNNNNNNNNNNGGCGAGGGCCCUCGUGCCCGAACCCCCCUCGCAACCUCUCCUCUCCAGUGCUCCCCCGCGGCUCUCCGGUGCUCCUCAGGCGGGACACAGCUGCCAUUCAUCGACGAGGCAACCACCGCACCGGUGGUCUUCUUCUCCGCUCGUUCUGGAUCGGGCAUGACCCCCGCCGACGCCACGAUGUCAUCCCGUCCCCGGUCGCCGGAGCCGCCCCUCGUCUACCUCCACCUCGUCGGACGCCUUCACCGACCUUCUCCCCGCCGGCGCCAUCAUGCCUCACCGCCGAACUCCCCUACAACGGGGGUGAGAACCCCAUCCCCCUACUUCCCUCUCCCCAUCGUCCCGCACGGCCAUCGCCACGCUCAGCGCGCUGGCCACCCCUGUUCCCCUGUCUCGCCCGCUGUUUCGUGCCUCUGUUGCCGCUGCUCGCCCGUCCACAGGGCUGCUGCUGUGCCUGGACGUCGCGCGUCACCGCACGCCCCCUGUGCACUCCGCCGGCGCUGCCGCGCCCCUUCCCCCGCUCGCUCCAUGCCUCGUGUCCGCCCCUCCCAGCGACAGCUGGCCGCCGGCCACCCGUCGACCAGGCUCCGGCCACGGCCUCGCCCACAGUCGUGGGUGCGUGUGCGUGUGUGUGGCCGGUUGUGCCCUUGACCACUGGGGCCCAGCCUCUGGAUAAGAACGAAAAACAAAUGAACAAAAAUAAGUGUUAAUUAAAAUAUUUAGUAUGUUAAUUAAUUAGUUAAUUAAGUAAAUAGCAUAAUAUAACCAAGUGACAGAUGGGCCUCACUGUUAAUUAAGCAAGUUUUCCUAAACUAAUAGAGUUAUGAGUCAAUGACAGUGGAACCCACUUGUCAGGUUGACCCGGUCAACGGUCAAUGCUGACUGGGCUGUUGACCUUGACUGGACCCACCAGUCAGCCUGUGCUGACUGGGCAGUUGACCAAGUCAACGGGGCCUACGGGUCAGCCACACAAGUCCAUCUCUGGGUACACUUCUGUGUGCCCAUAGCAAUUUAACAUUUAAUUUUUGAAUUAAAAUAAUUUAGGAAAUGAUUAAAACCUUAGAAAAAUCAUAUAAAAUAAUCCGUAGCUCAGAUCGAAAAACUUUCUACAUGAAAGUUGCUCAGAACAACGAGACGAACCCGGAAACACAGCCCGUUCGUCCGCCACGCGUCCCUAGCAUAGUGAACCUGCAACAUUUCACCUCCGGUUCAUCUGUCCAAAAACGCGAAACACUGGGGAUACUUUCCCGGAUGUUUCCCCCCUUCGUCGGUAUCACCUACUACCGCGAUUGGGCACACCUAGCAUCGUUACUUGUCAUGUCAUGCAUCGUUUGCAUUGUAUUCAUAGUUUCUUCCCCCUCUUCUCUCCGAUAGACCACGAGACCGACGCUGCUGCUGCCCAGUUCGACUACGGAGUUGACGACCCCUCCUUCUUGCCAGAGCAACCAGGCAAGCCCCCCCCCUUUUAUCACCAGAUAUCGCCUAUUAUCCUCUAUACUGCUUGCAUUAGAGUAGUGUAGCAUGUUACUGCUUUCCGUUAAUCCUAUUCUGUUGCAUAGCCUGUCAUUGUUGCUACAGUCAUUGAUACCUUACCCGCAAUCCUAAAUGCUUAGUAUAGGAUGCUAGUUUAUCAUCAUUGGCCCUACAUUCUUGUCAGUCUGCCUCGCUAUACUAUUGGGCCGUGAUCACUCGGGAGGUGAUCACGGGUAUAUACUAUACAUACAUACAUACUAUACAUAUGGUGACUAAAGUCGGGUCAGCUCGAUGAGUACCCGCAAGUGAUUCUGAUGAGGGGGCUGAAAGGACAGUUGGCUCCAUCCCGGUAGAGGUGGGCCUGGGUUCCCGACGGCCCCGACUGUUACUUUGUGGCGGAGCGACAGGGCAGGUUGAGACCACCUAGGAGACAGGUGGGCCUGGCCCUGUUUGGCGUUCGCGGAUACUUAACACGCUUAACGAGAUCUUGGUAUUUGAUCUGAGUCUGGCCAUUUGGUCUAUACGCACUAACCAUCUACGCGGGAGUAGUUAUGGGUAUCCCGACGUCGUGGUAUCAGCCGAAACCUUCGUGACGUCAGCAACUGAGGGGCGCGCGCCGGAUUGGAACGUAAGCCAGCUCUUGUAUUAAGGGGGCUAGUUCUGCUUCCGGCCGCGUUCGCAACGUGCAGGUGUGCUAAGGGCGAUGGGCCCAGACCCCUGUGCGCUUAGGUUUAGACCGGCAUGCUGACCUCUCUGUUGUGCCUAGGUGGGGCUGCGACGUGUUGAUCUUCCGCGGCCGGGUAUGACCCCGAAAAGUGUGUCCGGCCAAAUGGGAUCGAGCGUGUUGGGUUAUGUGGUGCACCCGUGCAGGGAAGUUAAUCUAUUCGAAUAGCCGUGAUCUUCGGUAACAAGACGACUUGGAGUUGUACCUUGACCUUAUGACAACUAGAACCGGAUACUUAAUAAAACACACCCUUCCAAGUUCCACAAACAACCCGGUGAUCGCUUUUCCACAGGGCAACGAGGGGAGGAUCGCCGGGUAGGAUUAUGCUAUGCGAUGCUACUGGAGAUGCUACUUGGAGAUGCUACUUGGAGGACUUCAAUCUACUCUCUUCUACAUGCUGCAAGACGGAGGCUGCCAGAAGCGUAGUCUUCGACAAGAUUAGCUAUCCCCUUCUUAUUCUGGCAUUCUGCAGUUCAGUCCACUGAUAUGGCCUCCUUACACAUAUACCCAUGCAUAUGUAGUGUAGCUCCUUGCUUGCGAGUACUUUGGAUGAGUACUCACGGUUGCUUUGCUCCCUCUUUUCCGUCGUUUUCCUCUUCUUCUCGGAUACCGCAACCAGACGUUGGAGCCCAGGAGCCAGACGCCACCGUCGACGACGACUACUACACUGGAGGUGCCUACUUCUACGUGCAGGCCGCUGACGACGACCAGGGGUAGUUAGGAGGAUCCCAGGCAGGAGGCCUGCGCCUUUUUCGAUCUGUACCCCAGUUUGUGCUUACCAUCUUAUGGCAACUUGUUUAACUUAUGUCUGUACUCAGAUAUUGUUGCUUCCGCUGACUCGUCUAUGAUCGAGCACUUGUAUUCGAGCCCUCGAGGCCCCUGGCUUGUAUUAUGAUGCUUGUAUGACUUAUUUUAUUUUUAGAGUUGUGUUGUGAUAUCUUCCCGUGAGUCCCUGAUCUUGAUCGUACACGUUUGCGUGUAUGAUUAGUGUAUGAUUAAAUCGGGGGCGUCACAAGAUGGCUGCGGCCCUCCGGCGGGCGGGCGCGUCCAAUGUGGUGUGGCUCCGUCCCUCCACCCCCUCCCCCCAAGUCAAGCUCGGGCCGGCCCCCUUUGGCGGCAACCAUGGAGUCCUGGUGGUGCCCGGCGGCGGCUGCAUCUUGCAGCGCGCCGGCUGGGCCCUUGGCUGCGCCCGUACUCUCCUCCAGCCAGCCACCCACCCCACGGAGGGGCGACUCAUCCCCCGUGGCCACGGACAUGCAUCCCUUCCUGCGUCCAUGGCUGGUUGGGGCAGCUCCGGGCCCGACGCACUGCGGGAGCGGCGCUCCUUCCGGUUCCUUUGGCUCACUGACACCUCGGCACGUCCGCACCCCCACCCUGCUGGUGUCAUUCGUUGGCCGUCCAUCCCGGCGCGUCUGCGAUUCCGGCGCACUUCGGGAGCUGCGCCCCCUUCUGGCUCCUUGGGCUCGCCGGCAUCCUCGAUUCUGGUCCCGGUGACCAGGAUCUGCGCUACCAUUCGGAUUUUGGCUCGCUUGGCCUCCGGCCAACGCCACAUCCUUCGUCGCCUCUCAUUCUGCCCAACCACCCACCUUCGUGUCCCGUCUGUCCCUUCGCCACUCCUUUGCUCUCUUGUCCGGCGGUGCCCGGUGCCUCCUUCGGUGGCGGGCAUUGCUCCCCUUUCCCGUGGUUGUUGUUUCUGCCUAUGCUUGACUUCUUCUUAUCGGAUUCAUGCUUCGAUGGCUUGGGGAUUGCUCAGACUCUGGCCAGGGCGAAAUCCUUGCAUCCUAUGCUGGCAGCAGCGACACUCGCGAGUGUCAUACCCUUGUUGGAGGCAUUGCCACGGCCGUUUGUGCCCCUCUUCGAGCAUAAGGGGAAACCCUAGCUCCGGUUCUCCCGAUCGGACGGCGACGACGUCUCGGCGCCGUUCUCCUUCAUGAAGGUGUUGUCUUGUUUGCUCGCGGCGUCCUCGGUUCUGGAUCUAGUGAUCUUGGUCGUCUUGUUGUUCGUCUGGGCUACUUCCUAGGAUGGUGAGUCCAGCUUUGUUUUUCUCUAAUUGGGCCGAGCAUCCCAUGUCUCUCAGCUCUAGGCAUCAUGUUCAUGCCCAUUCUAUACUCGUUCUAUCUUCUUCUAUCAAUGAAAUGAUACGCAAGCUUUGCGUGUUCGUGAAAAAAAAAAAGAAAACUAUGACUCCAACUAACUACCGGGCAAGUAGUGUACCACUAUAUACGUGGUCGAUGGAGACAAAAAAUAAGCUGGUGAAUGCGUUCGAUUGAUCUGGUAAAAAAUAAACAAAAACUACCCGAUGAUCUGUCAUGUAAAGUAAAACGCAAUUAAUGUAACUCACAGCCGAGGUUUUACCCGCUAACGGCGGCAUCCAACGUAACGUAAAAGUAAAUACUACAUGAUGCCACGAGCACAGCAAGUAUACCAGUACGGCAAAUGGAACGGCCUGGCCCUGUGGCUGUGGCAUCGGUAGUGCACGAUGCACGCGGACGAGUGAGCUAAAACGAGCUACGGAGCUAGGCUUUGGCUGCCCUGUAUGCACUGUCAAAAAUGGUCACAUGCCGCACCGGACCCCGACCCUCUCCUUCUCUCACAUGCUAGCUCACAGUGCCUGCGCCUGCUCGAGCUCCACACAUCCGUCGUGGGUGUUUGCGCGGGCCCACGCGCGUGGCGUCUCAUUGCAGUGCAGGCUCGCUCGCUCGCCACCGCGUUGCUCCUGCCCGGUACUUCGCACGUGUUUCAAACGGAUUCUCAUUUGAUGGGGGCGCAUGCGCCGAUGUAAUAAUCUUUGUCUUUGCUUUUUAGGGAAAUGUAAUAAUCUUUGUCGCCUUUUUUUUAUGGGACUUUGGAGCAGAUGAUAUGGGUCAAGCUGAACCCACUCUGAACAAAGAUAUAAAGAACGGUGUAGUCAAAUCGGCAAUGGCACGCUAAAUACAUGUUGGGGCUUGCAAAAUGGACAAGUGGUCCGCAGUGACAUACAAACAAAAAUUGACUGUGCCGGUAGCUUUUGUGUUUGUAUUAUAAUUCAUACAAACAAAAAACUAUGACUCUAACUAACUACCAGGCAGUAGUUUACAACUAUAUACGUAAUCGACCGAGACCAAAAAUAAGUUGAUGAAUGUGUUUGAGUCGGGAAAUCGAACCGAUGAUCUGUCACGCAAUACACAANNNNNNNNNNNNNNNNNNNNNNNNNNNNNNNNNNNNNNNNNNNNNNNNNNNNNNNNNNNNNNNNNNNNNNNNNNNNNNNNNNNNNNNNNNNNNNNNNNNNNNNNNNNNNNNNNNNNNNNNNNNNNNNNNNNNNNNNNNNNNNNNNNNNNNNNNNNNNNNNNNNNNNNNNNNNNNNNNNNNNNNNNNNNNNNNNNNNNNNNNNNNNNNNNNNNNNNNNNNNNNNNNNNNNNNNNNNNNNNNNNNNNNNNNNNNNNNNNNNNNNNNNNNNNNNNNNNNNNNNNNNNNNNNNNNNNNNNNNNNNNNNNNNNNNNNNNNNNNNNNNNNNNNNNNAAACGGCCGAGUAUUCUUUAGAGGACUAUGUUUACUCCUCUAAAAAUUGACUGUUUCUAGCCGAUCUCUAAUACUUAGAGAAGUAAAAAAAAUGUCAUAUUCAUUUAAUUUUCAGUUACUGAAAUCAACUUCACUAAUUAAUUAUUUUAUUGAGCGAUAUCUUGGUAACAUACUUCACCAAUUCUACGUUAAGUGAACCAAUCCAAAGAAAAUCACAAGAAAGAUUACACACUAAUAGAAAUUCAACUUUCAUAACUGCUCUCACUAAUUAUAUUAAUAUUUUCUCUAUGUCUUCAUUACCUAUAUUGUUCGUUUCUCAAUCAGGUUUUUGAGCUUGCACAAUUCUUUCUUCUCCGCUUUCACAUAAUUGGACAGUGCGUCGUCUCUAGUCUCAUCUUUAGUUUCUACUCUAGCAUGUAGUGCAUGGACAUCUAGCAAAUUUCACGCUAUAAAUAGAUCGAUGUACUCUUCUUUCCAACAUCAAAACUUGCAUCCGUCCUACAUAUAAUCUUCAGCAAAUAAUAAGUUACAAAUUGCAACAAAUCUGAAGAACAACCGUACAAAUAAGUGCUCAUCCGUCCUUUUCGCACUUGAUGAACACUCAUCUGGGAUAUUGUUUCGGCAUGCUCGAAACUCGGCACAGCACCAGUCAUGGGCAGUGGUCACACUUGAUGACCGGCAGCAGCGAGCCAACGAGCUGCUGUCCCCAAAUGGAAUAGGAGUUUUUGCUCUAAUGGGUGGGCGACCUAGUAAAUAUAGAAUCCCACGAUGCCGAGGAGUAUAUAUAAUUUUUUUACUUCUCUAACCAUUAUAUGUGUUCCGCUACGUGUCAAUUAGAGAAGUAAACUGAACUUUAUACUCCUCUAACCGUUUUCAGGGGAUCAGCUAGAGAUACCUAACAUCGGCAUCCAAUGUAAAAACAAAUGCAUUGUGCUAUCGAAAUGUUGUGCCACUAUUGUUAGGUUGAUCUGUCACCCGUUCGAACCCAACGGGUCGAACGGGCCCCUGACUCGCGCCCUGAUCGGGGGCGCCCAGCCAAACCAUGGUUGGUGGGCCCCUAUCGCCAGCGCAAUAUAAAGAGGUGGGGUCCCGGGGCAUGCAUCACGAGGUUGACCGUGCACCACAACACCACCAACACACCAAUCCGAUCUAGGGUUGCGCUUGAAGGAAAUAUGCCCUAGAGGCAAUAAUAAAGUUAUUAUUUAUUUCCUCAUAUCAUGAUAAAUGUUUAUUAUUCAUGCUAGAAUUGUAUUAACCGGAAACAUGAUACAUGUGUGAAUAGAUAGACAAACAUAUAGUCACUAGUAUGCCUCUACUUGACUAGCUCAUUAAUCAAAGAUGGUUAUGUUUCCUAAUCAUAGACAUGUGUUGUCAUUUGAUUAAUGGGAUCACAUCAUUAGAAGAAUGAUGUGCUUGACAUGACCCAUUCCGUUAGCCUAGUACUUGAUCGUUUAGUAUGUUGCUAUUUCUUUCUUCAUGACUUAUACAAAGUUCCUGCAACUAUGAGAUUGUGCAACUCACGUUUACCGGAAGAACACUUUAUGUGCUACCAAACGUCACAACGUAACUGGGUGAUUAUAAAGGUGCUCUACAGGUGUUUCCGAAGGUACAUGUUGAGUUGGCAUAAUUCGAGAUUAGGUUUUGUCACUCCGAUUGUCGGAGAGGUAUCUCUGGGCCCUCUCGGUAAUACUCAUCACUUAAGCCUUGCAAGCAUUAUAACUAAUGAGUUAGUAAUAAGAUGAUGUGUUACAGAACGAGUAAAGAGACUUGCCAAUAACGAGAUUGAACUAGGUAUUGGAUAUCGACGAUCAAAUCUCGGGCAAGUAACAUACCGAUGACAAAGGGAACAACGUAUGUUGUUAUGCGGUUUGACCGAUAAAGAUCUUCGUAGAAUAUGUAGGAACCAAUAUGGGCAUCCAGGUUCCGCUAUUGGUUAUUGACCGAGAAUGGUUCUAGGUCAUGUCUACAUAGUUCUCGAACCCGUAGGGUCCGCAUGCUUAACGUUACGAUGACAAUUUUAUUAUGAGUUUAUAAGUUUUGAUGUACCGAAGUUUGUUCGGAGUCCCGGAUGUGAUCACGGACAUGACGAGGAGUCUCGAAAUGGUCGAGACAUAAAGAUUGAUAUAUUGGAAGCCUAUAUUUGGACAUCGGAAAGGUUCCGGGUGAAAUGAGGAUUUUACCGGAACACCCGGGGGUUACCGGAACCCUCCCGGGGGUUAAUGGGCUUUAAUGGGCCAUGAGGGAGAAGAGGAGGGCCAGCCAGGGCAGGCCGCGCGCCCCCUCCCCCCUAGUCCGAAUAGGACAAGGAAGGGGGGGGGGCGCCCCCCUUUCCUCUUUCCCCUCCCUCCUUUCCUUCUCCACCAAGGCAAGAGGGGGGAGUCCUACUCCCGGUGGGAGUAGGACUCCUCCAGGCGCAUCCCAAAGGGGCCGGCCGCACCUCCCCCUCCCGCCUUUAUAUACGGGGGCAAGGGGGCACCCCAUAACACACAAGUUGAUCUACGGAUCGUUCCUUAGCCGUGUGCGGUGCCCCCGUCCACCAUAUUCCACCUUGGUCAUAUCGUCGCGAAGCUUAGGCGAAGCCCUGCGCCGGUAGAACAUCAUCAUCGUCACCACACCGUCGUGCUGACAGAACUCAUCCCCAAAGCUUUGCUGGAUCGGAGCCCGGGGAUCGUCAUCGAGCUGAACGUGUGCUGAACUCGGAGGUGCCGUACGUUCGGUGCUUGGAUCGGUCGGAUCGUGAAGACGUACGACUACAUCAACCGCGUUGUGCUAACGCUUCCGCUUACGGUCUACGAGGGUACGUGGACAACACUCUCCCCUCUCGUUGCUAUGUCAUCACCAUGAUCUUGCGUGUGCGUAGGAAAUUUUUUGAAAUUACUACGUUCCCCAACAGUGGUAUCAGAGCCUAGGUUUUAUGCGUUGAUGUUAUAUGCACGAGUAGAACACAAGUGAGUUGUGGGAGAUACAAGUCAUACUGCUUACCAGCAUGUCAUACUUUGGUUCGGCGGUAUUGUGACAUGAAGCGGCCUGGACCGACAUUACGCGUACGCUUACGCGAGACUGGUUUCACCGUUGCGAGCACUCGUGCUUAAAGGUGGCUGGCGGGUGUCUGUCUCUCUCACUUUAGCUAAAUCGAGUGUGGCUACGCCCGGGUCCUUGCGAAGGUUAAAACAGCACCAACUUGACAAACUAUCGUUGUGGUUUUGAUGCGUAGGUAAGAACGGUUCUUGCUAAGCCCGUAGCAGCCACGUAAAAUUUUGCAACAACAAAGUAGAGGACGUCUAACUUGUUUUUGCAGGGCAUGUUGUGAUGUGAUAUCGUCAAGACGUGAUGCUAUAUUUUAUUGUAUGGGAUGAUCAUGUUUUGUAACCGAAGUUAUCGGCAACUAGCAGGAGCCAUAUGGUUGUCGCUUUAUUGUAUAAAAUGCAAACGCCCUGUAAUUGCUUUACUUUAUCACUAAGCGGUAGCGAUAGUCGUAGAAGCAAUAGUUGGCGAGACGACAACGAUGCUACGAUGGAGAUCAAGGUGUCGCGCCGGUGACGAUGGUGAUCAUGACGGUGCUUCGAAGAUGGAGAUCACAAGCACAAGAUGAUGAUGGCCAUAUCAUAUCACUUAUAUUGAUUGCAUGUGAUGUUUAUCCUUUAUGCAUCUUAUCCUGCUUUGAUUGACGGUAGCAUUUUAAGAUGAUCUCUCACUAAAAAUUAUCAAGAAGUGUUCUCACUGAGUAUGCACCAUUGCUAAAGUUCGUCGUGCCCAAACACCACGUGAUGAUCGGGUGUGAUAAGCUCUACGUCCAUCUACAACGGGUGCAAGACAGUUUUGCACACGCGGAAUACUCAGGUUAAACUUGACGAGCCUAGCAUAUGCAGAUAUGGCCUCGGAACACGGAGACUGAAAGGUCGAGCGUGAAUCAUAUAGUAGAUAUGAUCAACAUAAAGAUGUUCACCAUUGAAAACUACCCCAUCUCACGUGAUGAUCGGUUAUGGUUUAGUUGAUUUGGAUCACGUGAUCACUUAGAUGACUAGAGAGAUGUCUGUCUAAGUGGGAGUUCUUAAGUAAUAUGAUUAAUUGAACCUAAAUUUAUCAUGAACUUAGCACCUGAUAGUAUUUUGCUUGUCUAUGUUUGUUUGUAGAUAGAUGGCUCGUGCUGUUGUUCCGUUGAAUUUUAAUGCGUUCCUUGAGAAAGCAAAGUUGAAAGAUGAUAGUAGCAAUUACACGGACUGGGUCCGUAACCUGAGGAUUAUCCUCAUUGCUGCAUAGAAAAGUUACGUCCUGGAAGCACCGCUGGGUGCCAGGCCUGCUGCUGAUGCAACUGACGACGUUAAGAACGUCUGGCAGAGCAAAGCUGAUGACUACUCUAUAGUUCAGUGUGCCAUGCUUUACGGCUUAGAACCGGGUCUUCAACGACGUUUUGAACGUAAUGGAGCAUAUGAGAUGUUCCAGGAGUUGAAGUUAAUAUUUCAAGCAAAUGCCCGGAUUGAGAGAUAUGAAGUCUCCAAUAAGUUCUACAGCUGCAAGAUGGAGGAGAAUAGUUCUGUUAGUGAGCAUAUACUCAAAAUGUCUAGGUAUAAUAAUCACUUGAUUCAACUGGGAGUUAAUCUUCCGGAUGAUAGCGUCAUUGACAGAACUCUCCAAUCACUGCCACCAAGCUACAAGAGCUUUGUGAUGAACUAUAAUAUGCAAGGGAUGAACAAGACUAUUCCCGAGCUCUUCGCAAUGCUAAAAGCUGCGGAGGUAGAAAUCAAGAAGGAGCAUCAAGUGUUGAUGGUCAACAAUACCACUAGUUUCAAGAAAAAGGGCAAAGGGAAGAAGAAGGGGAACUUCAAGAAAAACAGCAAGCAAGUUGCUGCUCAAGAGAAGAAACCCAAGUCUGGACCUAAGCCUGAAACGGAGUACUUCUACUGCAAGCAGACUGGUCACUGGAAGCGGAACUGCCCCAAGUAUUUGGCGGAUAAGAAGGAUGGCAAAGUGAACAAAUAUAUAUGUGAUAUACAUGUUAUUGAUGUGUACCUAACUAGAGCUCGUAGUAGCACCUGUGUAUUUGAUACUGGUUCUGUUGCUAAUUUUUGCAACUCGAAACAGGGACUACAGAAUAAGCGAGCACUGGCCAAGGACGAGGUGACGAUGCGCGUGGGAAACGGUUCCAAAGUCGAUGUGAUCGCAGUCGGCACGCUACCUCUACAUCUACCUUCGGGAUUAGUUUUAGACCUGAAUAAUUGUUAUUUGGUGCCAGCGUUGAGCAUGAACAUUAUAUCUGGAUCUUGUUUGAUGCGAGACGGUUAUUCAUUUAAAUCAGAGAAUAAUGGUUGUUCUAUUUAUAUGAGUAAUAUCUUUUAUGGUCAUGCACCCUUGAAGAGUGGUCUAUUUUUAUUAAAUCUCGAUAGUAGUGAUACACAUAUUCAUAGUGUUGAAACCAAAAGAUGCAGAGUUAAUAAUGAUAGUGCAACUUAUUUGUGGCACUGUCGUUUUGGUCAUAUCGGUGUAAAACGCUUGAAGAAGCUCCAUACUAAUGGACUUUUGGAAUCACUUGAUUAUGAAUCACUUGGUACUUGUGAACCGUUCCUUAUGGGUAAGAUGACUAAAACGCCGUUCUCCGGAACUAUGGAGCGAGCAACUGAUUUGUUGGAAAUCAUACAUACUGAUGUUUGUGGCCCAAUGAAUGUUGAGGCUCGCAGCGGGUAUCGUUAUUUUCUCACCUUCACAGAUGAUUUGAGUAGAUAUGGGUAUAUCUACUUGAUGAAACACAAGUCUGAAACAUUUGAAAAGUUUAAAGAAUUUCAGAGUGAAGUGGAAAAUCAUCGUAACAAGAAAAUAAAGUUUCUACGAUCUGAUCGUGGAGGAGAAUAUUUGAGUUAUGAGUUUGGCCUACACUUGAAACAAUGUGGAAUAGUUUCGCAACUCACGCGACCUGGAACACCACAACGAAAUGGUGUGUCCGAACGUCUUAAUCGUACUUUACUGGAUAUGGUGCGAUCUAUGAUGUCUCUUACUGAUUUACCGCUAUCAUUUUGGGGUUAUGCUUUAGAGACGGCCGCAUUCACGUUAAAUAGGGCACCAUCAAAAUCCGUUGAGACGACGCCUUAUGAACUAUGGUUUGGCAAGAAACCAAAGUUGUCGUUUCUUAAAGUUUGGGGCUGCGAUGCUUAUGUGAAGAAACUUCAACUAGAUAAGCUCGAACCUAAAUCGGAGAAAUGUGUCUUCAUAGGAUACCCAAAAGAGACUAUUGGGUACACCUUCUAUCACAGAUCCGAAGGCAAGACAUUCGUUGCUAAGAAUGGAUCCUUUCUAGAGAAGGAGUUUCUUUCGAAAGAAGUGAGUGGGAGGAAAGUAGAACUUGAUGAGAUAACUGUAUCUACUCCAUUAUUGGAAAGUAGUUCAUCACGAGAACCGGUUCCUGUGACAACUACACCAAUUAGUGAGGAAGCUAAUGAUAAUGAUCAUGAAACUUCAGAUCAAGUUUCUACUGAACUUCGUAGGUCUACCAGAGUAAGAUCCGCGCCAGAGUGGUACGGUAAUCCUAUUCUGGAAGUCAUGUUACUUGACCAUGAUGAACCUACGAACUAUGAGGAAGCGAUGAUGAGCCCGGAUUCCGCAAAAUGGCUAGAAGCCAUGAAAUCUGAGAUGGGAUCCAUGUAUGAAAACAAAGUAUGGACUUUGGUUGACUUGCCCGAUGAUCGGCAAGCCAUUGAGAAUAAAUGGAUCUUUAAGAAGAAGACUGACGCUGAUGGUAAUAUAACUGUCUAUAAAGCUCGACUUGUUGCAAAAGGUUUUCAACAAGUUCAAGGGGUUGACUACGAUGAGACUUUCUCACCCGUAGCGAUGCUUAAGUCUGUCCGAAUCAUGUUAGCUAUUGCUGCAUUUCAUAAUUAUGAAAUUUGGCAAAUGGAUGUCAAGACUGCAUUCUUGAAUGGAUUUCUAGAAGAAGAGUUGUAUAUGAUGCAGUCGGAAGGUUUUAUUGAUCCAAAAAGGUGCUGACAAAGUGUGCAAGCUCCAGCGUUCCAUUUAUGGAGUGGUGCAAGCAUCUCUGAGUUGGAAUAGACGCUUUGAUAGUGUGAUCAAAGCAUAUGGUUUUUUACAGACUUUUGGAGAAGCCUGUAUUUACAAGAAAUUGAGUGGGAGCGCUGUAGCAUUUCUAAUUUUAUAUGUAGAUGACAUAUUAUUAAUUGGAAAUGAUAUAGAAUUUCUGGAUAGCAUAAAAGGAUACUUGAAUAAAAGUUUUUCAAUGAAAGACCUCGGUGAAGCUGCUUACAUAUUGGGCAUCAAGAUCUAUAGAGAUAGAUCAAGACGCUUAAUAGGACUUUCACAAAGCACAUACCUUGACAAAAUUUUGAAAAAGUUCAAAAUGGAUCAGGCAAAGAAAGGAUCCUUGCCUGUGCUACAAGGUGUGAAGUUGAGUUAAACUCAAUGCCCGACCACAGCAGAAGAUAGAGAGAAAAUGAAAAAUGUUCCCUAUGCUUCAGCCAUAGGCUCUAUGCAAUGCUGUGUACCAGACCUGACGUAUGCUUAGCAAUAAGCUUGGCAGGAAGGUACCAAAGUAAUCCAGGAGUGGAUCACUGGACAGCGGUCAAGAACAUCCUGAAAUACCUGAAAAGGACUAAGGAAAUGUUUCUCGUAUAUGGAGGUGACAAAGAGCUAGUCGUAAACGGUUACGUCGAUGCAAGCUUUGGCACUGAUCCGGACGAUUCUAAAUCGCAAACCGGAUACGUGUUUUUAAUAAACGGUGGAGCUGUAAGUUGGUGCAGUUCUAAACAAAGCGUCGUAGCAGGAUCUACAUGUGAAGCGGAGUACAUAGCUGCUUCGGAAGCAGCAAAUGAAGGAGUCUGGAUGAAGGAGUUCAUUUCCGAUCUAGGUAUCAUACCUAGUGCAUCGGGACCAGUGAAGAUCUUCUGUGACAGUACUGGUGCAAUUGCCUUGGCAAAGGAAUCCAGAUUUCACAAGAGGACCAAGCACAUCAAGAGACGCUUCAAUUCCAUUCGGGACCAAGUCCAAGUGGGAGGCAUAGAGAUUUGCAAAAUACAUACGGAUCUGAAUGUUGCAGACCUGUUGACUAAUCCUCUCUCACGAGCAAAACAUGAUCAACACCAAGACUCCAUGGGUCUUAGAAUCAUUACUAUGUAAUCUAGAUUAUUGACUCUAGUGCAAGUGGGAGACUGAAGGAAAUAUGCCCUAGAGGCAAUAAUAAAGUUAUUAUUUAUUUCCUCAUAUCAUGAUAAAUGUUUAUUAUUCAUGCUAGAAUUGUAUUAACCGGAAACAUGAUACAUGUGUGAAUAGAUAGACAAACAUAUAGUCACUAGUAUGCCUCUAGCUCAUUAAUCAAAGAUGGUUAUGUUUCCUAACCAUAGACAUGUGUUGUCAUUUGAUUAAUGGGAUCACAUCAUUAGAAGAAUGAUGUGAUUGACAUGACCCAUUCCGUUAGCCUAGCACUUGAUCGUUUAGUAUGUUGCUAUUGCUUUCUUCAUGACUUAUACAAAGUUCCUGCAACUAUGAGAUUGUGAACUCACGUUUACCGGAAGAACACUUUGUGUGCUACAAAACGUCACAACGUAACUGGGUGAUUAUAAAGGUGCUCUACAGGUGUUUCCGAAGGUACAUGUUGAGUUGGCAUAAUUCGAGAUUAGGUUUUGUCACUCCGAUUGUCGGAGAGGUAUCUCUGGGCCCUCUCGAUAAUACUCAUCACUUAAGCCUUGCAAGCAUUAUAACUAAUGAGUUAGUAAUAAGAUGAUGUGUUACAGAAUGAGUAAAGAGACUUGCCAGUAAUGAGAUUGAACUAGGUAUUGGAUACCGACGAUCAAAUCUCGGCAAGUAACAUACCGAUGACAAAGGGAACAACGUAUGUUGUUAUGCGGUUUGACCAAUAAAGAUCUUCGUAGAAUAUGUAGGAACCAAUAUGGGCAUCCAGGUUCCGCUAUUGGUUAUUGACCGAGAAUGGUUCUAGGUCAUGUCUACAUAGUUCUCGAACCCGUAGGGUCCGCACGCUUAACGUUACGAUGACAGUUUUAUUAUGAGUUUAUAAGUUUUGAUGUACCGAAGUUUGUUCGGAGUCCCGGAUGUGAUCACGAACAUGACGAGGAGUCUCGAAAUGGUCGAGACAUAAAGAUUGAUAUAUUGGAAGCCUAUAUUUGGACAUCGGAAAGGUUCCGGGUGAAAUCGGGAUUUUACCGGAACACCGGGGGGUUACCGAAACCCUCCCGGGGGUUAAUGGGCCUUAAUGGGCCAUGAGGGAGAAGAGGAGGGCCAGCCAGGGCAGGCCGCGCGCCCCCUCCCCCCUAGUCCGAAUAGGACAAGGAAGGGGGGGGGCGCCCCCCUUUCCUCUUUCCCCUCCCCCCUUUCAUUCUCCACCAAGGCAAGAGGGGGGAGUCCUACUCCCGGUGGGAGUAGGACUCCUCCAGGCGCACCCCAAAGGGGCCGGCCGCGCCUCCCCCUCCCUCCUUUAUAUACCGGGGCAAGUGGGCACCCCAUAACACACAAGUUGAUCUACGGAUCGUUCCUUAGCCGUGUGUGGUGCCCCCCUCCACCAUAUUCCACCUCGGUCAUAUCGUCGCGAAGCUUAGGCGAAGCCCUGCGCCGGUAGAACAUCAUCAUCGUCACCACGCCGUCGUGCUGACGGAACUCAUCCCCAAAGCUUUGCUGGAUCGGAGCCCGGGGACCGUCAUCGAGCUGAACGUGUGCUGAACUCGGAGGUGCCGUACGUUUGGUGCUUGGAUCGGUCGGAUCGUGAAGACGUACGACUACAUCAACCACGUUGUGCUAACGCUUCCGCUUACGGUCUACGAGGGUACGUGGACAACACUCUCCCCUCUCGUUGCUAUGUCAUCACCAUGAUCUUGCGUGUGCGUAGGAAUUUUUUUGAAACUACUACGUUCCCCAACAGCGCUAGGCCGACGGGAAGCUCCACCACCGCCUCCAUCCACUCUCUGCCAUCACCGGCCACUGUCACCAUGGCCGGCACCGGGAGUUCCUCAUCCACACCUGAAGAAGGUAGGUCUACCGUGGAUAUCCAACACAUGCGAUCCCGACGGAUCUAUCAAUGGUAUUAGAGCCUUUCUUGUGUUGAUAUUUUCGGUAAGUAAAAGAAAAGAAAAGUUACUCCUCCCCGCCCAAGAAGCCUAACCCCAGAACAAAAAAAGAGGGGCAAAGAAGGGCAAAGAAAACGCGCCGCCGCAAGGCCGCGCCGUUCCUCUCGAUCCGGAUGCGCAUCGGCAAGUCGAGGCGUCCGGAAGAUGAACCACCGGAGCAAUCAAUUGCUCACCGGAAAAGAAAAUAAAAAAGGGAAAGGGGUCAGCAUCGCGGCCAAAUCCCUCGACGGAGGCGCGCCCGCCGCUAGGGAGGACGCGCGACCGGCGAGGAGGAUGGUCACGACGCGAUCUAGCUGCGAUCCACUUCCUCUCGCUGAGAAGGAAAGGGGGGACCCUUGAUGCAUCUCUCUGUCUCGCGGAAAUGGAGCUGGGAAGGGGAAGGGGAAGGCUCGCGCGGCGCGGCUCGAGCCGUCGCCGGCGGCCGGUGUGACCCCAACCCACCGCAUCGGGAUCUCUAUGCUCUCUCCCUCGCACUCUAUUGCUGGAGUAGAGAAGAGGAAAGGUGGGGGAGGGAGAGAGAUAGGCACGGCGCCGCGCGGUGGCAGCCGUCGCCGGCCACCAGGGCCGGCGGCCGGGCCGUCGCAGCCGCCCCGAGCGGGCGAGAGCGGCGCGAGAGAGGCCAGAGAGGGGGCGCAGGGGCAUAAUGGGCUAAUUCCAUAUAGAUUUUCUAUUCAAAUUAGUCCAACGAAACUUUUCAUUUAGAAAAUAGUAAAGUAAAUAAAAUAGAAAAGUUUUCGAAUAUGAAAAUAAAAAAUUUUCAGAAAAAGAAAAGUUCAUGUAUUUUAUAAAGUAAAAGUUUCUGUAGAAAUAAAAAGUUCAUGUUUUUAUUCGGUCAAAGAAAAGUUUCUGUAGAGAGUAAAAAGUUCGUGAAUUUUUUAUUCAUGUUUUUCCGCUGCAUAAAUAAUUGAUAUUGGUCUUUUACAAAGAAAAUAAAAGUUUAGAAAGAAUUAUGUUUUUAAGAGCAUGUUAAAGUGAUUAUUAAAAUGAAUAUGAUUAUGUUAUUUUUUAUGAACAACGUUGUAAAUACAUUAUCAUGUUUUAUUAUUGAAAUUUAAAGGUGCAUUUAUUUCUAACAUUUUGCCCAACGGUAAUAUAGAUUUAAUUGCAUAGACAAUUGUAUGUUUAAUUUGACCAACGUUAGAUUAAUGCAUAUGAUUGUUAUACUGAUGUCACUUAAAUUGUGAUUUCAGGAGGCCAUCACUUGAUGAAUUUCCUAAAAGAAGUUCCGACACUCAUAUGUGACAACCACACUGAGUGGAGGAAGAAAGUAGAAGUGGCAUUUGUUUGUGCUGAUCUGGAUUGGGUUGUGGAAGAACCACAGCCAGUCAGACCCACAGAGCCAGUAAGAGAGGCCACUAAUGAUGAUGCUGCAUGGUCUAAAAAGAGGGGGGACUAUGCUCCUUUGGAGAUGUCCUACCUCAUAGGGACGAAAAUUAGGUCAAUGCAAACAAAAAGUGCAUGUCAUUUAUAAAGAAUACAAUCAAGAGCACCAUUAUGGGCUCCAUUGCAGAGUGCGCUUGCGCAGGGGAUUUGCUUACAAAGAUAAAGAGCUAGUUCAUUGGCUCUUCAAAGAUAUAUGCCACCCAGGUGUUAGAGCAACUGGUGACAGAAUGCUACACAGGUGGUAGUCAUGGAAUAAGAGAGCACAUCCUUAGGAUGAGCAAUAUGGCAGCAAAGCUAAAGCCCAUGGAUGAGGAUCUGAAGAUCAAACCAAAGCUCCUGGUCCACCUGAUCAUGGCUUCACUGCCAAAGGAGUUUGAAACUUUUGUUGUAAACUAUAAUAUGUCACCUGGAACAUGGGACAUUGAAAAGACAAUAGCAAUGUGUGUCCAAGAAGAGGACAAACUCAAAGCUGCACAUGGUCGUUCACUCAACUAUGUGAAGGAUCACAAGAAAAAGAAUUACAAUCAAAACAACAAAAGUUCUCCUUCAAAGCAUGGAAAAGCCCUCUAUCAGCAUCAGCAUCAGCAACAACCUGUCUUAGUGGACAAAGACACUUGUCUCCACUGCAAGAAGAAAGGGCAUUACAAGAAAGACUGCGCUGCUUGGCUGAAGUCAGUCAUGGCAAGAAGAGGUAACAAUAUAGUCUCAUUUGUCAAUGAAUCCUUGUAUACACAAUUUUCAAAAUCCACUUGGUGGAUUGAUUCAGGAGCAACUGUUCAUGUUGCAAAUUCUUUACAGGGAUUCCAUUAGACGUGGACUACGCUAAGAAGUGAAAGACGCAUUGAAGUGGCAAACGGAGUUGAAGCGGAAGUUGAAGCUGUCGGUGACAUCUCCUUGGAGUUAGCUGACAGAUUCAAUCUUCUACUUAGAGAUGUUUUAUUUGUUCCAUCAUGUCAUAGAAAGUUAAUUAGUGUUUCUUGUUUGGACAAAGAUAAUUAUGAAUGUUAUUUUGGACAUGGCAAGUGUGCCAUAUGGUUAAAUAAUGCUUAUGUGGGUGAUGCUUUACUACAUGAUGAGCUUUAUUUGUUAUCACUUCGUGAAAAAGUUUAUUCUGUAUGCAAUGUGAAAGAACAUGUUUCCGUGUCGAAUAAAGAACAAAAGAAAAGAAAGAGAACAUUCGACUCAUCAAAAUUAUGGCACUGUCACUUGGGCCAUAUUUCCAAGGGGAGAGUUAGUCAAGAGUGAAAUUAUUCCUCUGUUAGAAUUCUCAGACUUAGAACAAUGCAUAGAUUGCAUUAAAGGAAAGUAUAUAAAACAAAUCAAAAAAGGUGCCAUCCAUAGAACAGGCACACUAGAAAUCAUCCACACUGACAUUUGUGGACCAUUUCUAGUGAAAAGUGUGGAUGGAUAUGACUCGUUCAUAACAUUCACAGAUGAUUACUCUCGCUAUGGAUAUAUUUAUCCAAUCAAAGAAAAAUCUGGAGCGUUGGAUAAAUUUAAAAUAUUUAAAGCUGAAGUUGAAAAUCAGCAUGAUAAAAGAAUAAAGAUAGUCAGGUCCGACCGUGGGGGAGAGUACUACGGUCGGCACACACCAUAUGGCCAAUUCCCUAGACCUUUUGCAAAGUUCUUGCAGGAGACUGGCAUAGUAGCCUAGUAUUCAAUGCCGGACGAGUCUCAGCAAAAUGGAGUAGCUGAAAGGCGCAACCGUACACUUAUGGAUAUGGUGCGCAGUAUGAUGAGUUAUUCCAACUUGCCAUUGGGAUUAUGGAUGGAGGCGCUUAAAACCGCCAUUCACAUUCUCAAUAGAGUAUCAAGCAAGUCGGUGCCCAAAACACCGUGCGAGCUAUGGACAGGAAGGGUGCCAUCCUUACAACACUUCAGCGUGUGGGGGUGCCCUGCUGAGGCCAAAAUGUUUAAUCCAAACAUUGCAAAGUUAGAUCCCAAAACAGUGAGUUUCCACUUCAUUGGCUAUCCAGACAGAUCAAAGGGUUUUCGUUUCUACUGCCCAGACAGAUAUACAAAGUUUGUAGAAACGAGACAUGCAGUCUUCUUAGAGGAUGUAAUGAUGAGAGGGAGCUUGGUAGCUCGGAAAAUUGAUCUUGAAGAGAAGAGGGUGCAUGCACCUAAUCCGAUGAUUCAGGAGCCAUUUUUCUCACUACCAGUUGCAACUCCACCCAUGACAACUGUGUGAGUAGACCCGGAACCUGUCCGUCAGGAGCCGACUGCACCCGUUGUUGAGCAUGAAAGGGAGGUGCAGCAGCAAAUUUUAGAAGAAGUGCCAGAAGUCGAGGCACAUAAUGUGCCAGAAACAGAGGCCCUUAGAAGGUCUACAAGACCAAGAAAGUCAGCUAUUUCUACUGACUUUAAAGUUUAUAACACAGAAAUGGUUCAUAUGGAAAAAGAUCCCACCUCAUAUGAAGAAGCCAUGAGAAGUCCUCAUUCAUCAAAGUGGAUGAAGGCAAUGGAAGACAAGAUGAAAUAGAUGAGUUCCAAGGAUGUUUGAGACUUAGAGGAAAUUCCUAAAAGAGCCAAGACAGUAGGCUGCAAAUGGGUCUACAAAAUCAAGUAUGACUCUAAAGGAAAUGUAGAAAAGUAUAAAGCACGACUCGUGGCAAAAGGAUUUACACAAAGAGAAGGGAUAGAUUACAAUGAGAAAUUUUCUCUGGUCUCAUGUAAGGAUUCCUUCAGAAUCAUAAUGGCAUUAGUUGCUCAUUUUGAUUUGAAGUUACAUCAAAUGGAUGUAAAGAAGACAUUUCUCACCGGAGAUUUAAAGGAAAAUGUCUACAUGAAACAGCCCAAGGGUUUUAUCAUGGAAGGCAAGGAAAAUAUGGGAUGCCGCCUAACACUAGUAAAAAAGGGGGCAUCAGUCCCGGUUGGUAAGGCCCUUUAGUCCCGGUUUUUGAACCGGGACUAAAGGGCCGUUACUAAUGCCUCCCACCUUUAGUCCCGGUUCAAACUGGAAUCGGGACUAAAGGUCGCGGCCACGUGGAGCUCCACCUUUAGUCCCGGUUGGUAACACCAACCGGGACUAAAGGAAAUUUUAUGAUUUUUUUUUGAAUUUUUAUUUUCUUUUUAUUUUCAAAUUUUUGAAUUAUUGUAACCACUAAUCUCUAAUCACCACCCCUCAUCACUGCUCAAUUUAUCCUUUAAUCUGUAAUCACCCCUCCUCAUUCCUAAUCAUCCAACUUCCCGAAUGGUCACCCAUCCUCCAACUCCCCCAGCCUGAGCACGCUUAACUUCCGGGUUCUAUUCUCCCUCGUUUCCAAGUCUGCACUUGUUGUUUUCCUGACAAUAGUAAGAUGUCAAUCCUAUUAACCCUCAGGAAUUUUGCGUGAGCAUGAAGUGACACAUUUCAUUGUUUGAGUUUGAAACUAUUGUUUUAAAAAACAAUAAUUAUUUAGUAACACUAAUAUUUCUUGAAUAAUUAGUUUGACCAUUGUUUGACCAUUGUUUGACCACAGUUUGACCAGAUUUGACCAAAAUCCAAAAUAACUGAAAUAAUUAUUUAGUAACACUAAUAUUCUAGAAUAAUUAGUUUGACCAUUAUUUGACCAUUGUUUGACCAUAGUUUGAAAUUUUUUCGAUUUUUUCCACUCUAGAUCUUAAAAGCCCCGUAACUUUUUUUCUGUUAGUUUUUUGAGGAUUUUGAAAAUGUUUAACGGGGUUCCCAUGGGAAACUUAUUUUUUUUUAUUUUUUUGACAUUUUCAUCAUUUUCUUUUAUUUUUUUAAACUGAAAAGGCGAUCCACACGCGGGCGGGGCGUGGGGGGGUGGAGUUUGAAAAUGUGACCUUUAGUACCGGUUCGUGCCAUGAACCGGUACUAAUGCCUCAAACCCCAUUAGUACCGGUUGGUACCACGAACCGGUACUAAUGGACAUCGCACCCUUUAGUCCCGGUUCGUGGCACCAACCGGGACUAAAAGGUCCAAACGAACUGGAACAAAUUGCCCACGUGGCCCCUGGGUGCACGAACCGGGACUAAUGCCACCAUUAGUCCCGGUUCUGGACUGAACCGGGACUAAUGGGCUAACCCGGGAUGGACCAAAGCCCUCUUUUCUACUAGUGUAAAGAAAUCCAUUUGUGGAUUAAAGCAAGCCUCUAGACAGUGGUAUCUAAAGUUUAAUCAAACGAUUAAAAGUUUUGGAUUUAAAGAAAAUAUUGAGGAUAACUGCAUUGAUGCAAAGUUUAAAAAUGGGAAAUAUAUUUUCCUAAUCUUGUAUGUGGAUGACAUUCUGCUUGCUAGCAGUGAUGUUAGUCUACUACAAGAAACAAAGAAGUUCUUAUUCUCAAAUUUUGACAUAACAGAUCUUGGUGAAGCAUCCUAUGUUUUGGGCAUAGAAAUUCACCGAGAUAGAAACAACGGAGUCUUAGGACUAUCGCAGAAAGCAUAUUUAGAAAAGGUUCUUAAAAAGUAUAAUAUGCAUGCGAGUAAAGCCACACCUGCUCCUAUAGAGGGCGAUAGUUUUGGGAAAUUCCAAUGUCCCAAGAACCAGUACGAGAUCGAUCAAAUGAAAGGAGUACCAUAUGCUUCGGCAGUUGGCAGCUUACAGUAUGCACAAGUGUGCACUCGACCUGACUUAGCCUUUAUCACCAGGGUACUUGGUAGAUAUCAAGAGAAUCCAGGCAUAGAGCACUGGAAGAUGGUAAAGAAAGUAUUGCGUUAUGCGCAAGGCAUGAAGGACUACAUGCUAAUAUACAGGAGAAGUGAUUCCCUAGAGAUAAAAGGGUAUUCAGACGCAGAUUUUGUGGGGGACAAAGAUGAUAGAAAAUCCACAUCAGGGUACGUAUUCACCCUCGCUGGGGGAGCUAUUUCGUGGAAAAGCUCCAAACAGUCGAUAGUUGCAUCAUCCAUGAUGUAUGCAGAAUUCAUAGCAUGCUUCGAAGCCACGGGGCAGGCGAUAUGGCUAAUGAAAUUUGUACCCGACUUGAAAGUGGUAGACUGUAUUCAGAAACCACUAAAGAUGUAUUGCGACAAUCAGCCCGCGGUAUUUUACGCUCACAACAACAAGUCGAGUAAUGCUGCCAAAACAAUAGAGAUAAGGUAUUAUGUUGUGAAAGAUAAAAUCCAGGAUCAAACUAUAAGGCUCGAGCAUAUAAGAACAAAAGAUAUGCUUGCGGAUCCGCUAACGAAAGGCUUACCACCCAAUGUGUUCAAGGAACACUUAGCCGGCAUGGGUUUAAGGGAAAGCCUUAUGAUUCCUGGAUAGGCCCAAAAGGAACAUAAUUUGUUUCUGAACAAAACGUAUGUUGUAGCUGAAUGAUUCUAUCAACAAUUGAGCUGUGACGAUGAAACAUGCUCUAUGUACCAAUAUGUGAUGAAACAAAUAAACUAGAAAGUAUAAGGUUAAAAGUAAAGUUGAGAUCAAGCGGGAGAAUGUUAGGUUGAUCUCUCUCUCGUUCGAACCCUGAUCGGGGGCGCCCAACCAAACCAUGGUUGGUGGGCCCCUGUCACCAGCGCAAUAUAAAGAGGUGGGGUGCCAGGGCACGCAUCACGAGGUUGACCGUCCACCACAACACUACCAAGACACCAAUCCGAUCUAGGGUUGCGCUAGGCCGACGGGAAGCUCCACCACCGCCGCCAUCCACUCUCUGCCAUCACCGGCCACCGUCACCAUGGCCGGCACCGGGAGUUCCUCAUCCGCACCUCGAGAAGGCAGGUCUACCGUGGAUAUCCUACACAUGCGAUCCCGACGGAUCUAUCAGAACACUCAUCUGGGAUAUUGUUUCGGAAUGCUCGAAACUCGACACAACACCAGUCAUGGGAAGUGGUCACACUUGAUGACCGGAAGCAGCGAGCCAAUGAGCUAUUGUCCCCAAAUGGAAUAGGAGAUUUUACUCUAACGGGCGGGUGACCUAGUAAAUAUAGAAUCCCACGAUGCCGAGGAAUAUAUAUAAUUUUUUACUUCUCUAACCAUUAUAUGUGCUCGGCUACGUGUCAGUAAGAGAACUAAACUGAACUUUAUACUCCUCUAACCAUUUCCAGGGGAUCAGCUAGAGAUACCUAACGGCGGCAUCCAGUGUAAAAACAAAUGCAUUGUGCUAUUGAAAUGUUGUGCUACUAUUGUUAGGUUGAUCUCUCUCCCGAUUCGAAUCCAAUGGGUCGAACGGGCCCCUGACUCGCGCCCUAAUCGGGGACGCCCAACCAAAUCAUGGUUGGUGGGCCCCUGUCGCCAGCGCAAUAUAAAGAGGUGGGGAUGCCGGGGCACGCAUCACGAGGUUAACCGUGCACCACAACACCACCAACACACCAAUCCGAUCUAGGGUUGCGCUAGGCCGACGGGAAGCUCCACCACCGCCGCCAUCCACUCUCUGCCAUCACCGGCCACCGUCACCAUGGCCGGCACCGGUAGUUCCUCAUCCGCACCUGGAGAAGGUAGGUCUACCGUGGAUAUCCAACACAUGCGAUCCCGACGGAUCUAUUAGAACACUCAUCUGGGAAAUUGUUUUGGCAUGCUCAAAACUCAGCACAGCACCAGUCAUGGGCAGUGGUCACACUUGAUGAUCGGCAGCGGCGAGCCAACGAGUUGUUGUCCCCAAAUGGAAUAGGAGUUUUUGCUCUAACGGGUGGGUGACCUAGUAAAUAUAGAAUCCCACGAUGCCGACGAGUAUAUAUAAUUUUUUACUUCUCUAACCAUUAUAUGUGUUCAGCUAUGUGUCAAUUAGAGAAGUAAAUUGAACCUUAUACUCCUCUAACCGUUUCCAGGGGAUCAGCUAGAGAUACCUAACGGCGGCAUCCAAUGUAAAAACAAAUGCAUUGUGCUAUCGAAAUGUUGUGCCACUAUUGUUAGGUUGAUCUCUCUCCCGUUCGAACCCAACGGCUCGAACGGGCCCCUGACUCGCGCCCUGAUCGGGGGCGCCCAACCAAACCAUGGUUGAUGGGCCCCUGUCGCCAGCCCCAAUAUAAAGAGGUGGGGUGCCGGGGCACGCAUCACGAGGUUGACCGUGCACCACAACACCACCAACACACCAAUCCGAUUCAGGGUUGCGCUAGCCGACGGGAAGCUCCACCACCGCCGCCAUCUACUCUCUGCCAUCACCGGCCACCGUCACCAUGGCCGGCACCGGGAGUUCCUCAUCCGCACCUGGAGAAGAUAGGUCUACCGUGGAUAUCCAACACAUGCGAUCCCGACGGAUCUAUCAGAACACUCAUCUGGGAUAUUGUUUCGGCAUGCUCGAAACUCGGCACAGCACCAAUCAUGGGCAGUGGUCACACUUGAUGACCGGCAGCAGCGAGCCAACGAGCUGCUGUCCCCAAAUGGAAUAGGAGUUUUUGCUCUAACGGGUGGGCGACCUAGUAAAUAUAGAAUCCCACGAUGCCGAGGAUUAUAUAUAAUUUUUUUACUUCUCCAACCAUUAUAUGUGUUCGGCUACGUGUCAAUUAGAGAAGUAACCCCAGCCCACCAGGGUUCAAGUCCUGGUGGUCGCAUUUAUUCCUGGAUUUAUUUCAGGAUUUCCGGCGAUGCGCAUUCAGUGAGAGGAGACGUUCUCGUCGACGACGAGGCGCCUACUGUGACAUCGUAAAUUUCAAGAUGAUAUGUCGGCUCAGUCUUUCAGAGGUGCUCAUAGGGGUAGGGUGUGCGUGUGUGUGUUCAUAGGGGUAAGUGUAUGCGCGUGUAUAUGAGUGCUUCCGUCUGUACUGAUGUUAAAAAAAAAGUAGAGAAGUAAACUGACUUUAUACUCCUCUAACCGUUUUCAGGGGAUCAGCUAGAGAUACCUAACGGCGGCAUCCAAUGUAAAAGCAAAUGCAUGGUGCUAUCGAAAUGUUGUGCCACUAGCUGGCAUGCAUUAUUGUAUUAUUUUGGUUGCAUGCAUGAACUAGGCAGUAUUGUCGUAAUGAUUCCACGUCCACAGCAGCAAUUACCAGUGCCGCAAAUGGAAUGGACUGGCGUGUGGUUGUGGACGGUAGCUGGCAUCCAAUAAUUACCAUGGAAAUGCAUGCACGAGGGCGCGGGAGCUAAAACGUGCUACCGGGCCAGCCUGACAAAGAUGCGUGGUUUCCUGUGCGAAGCCCAUGACCAUGAGACGAAACGGAAACGAUAUCACAUGCCGCACCGGACCCUCUCCUCUCUCUCCUCUCUAACGAGAAAGUAACAGCUCAGCUGGGCCGCGCGCCUGCGGCUCCUCGACACGUCUCAUCGCAUGCAGGCUCGCCAGUGCGUCGCUGCGUACAGUAUAUGUUAGGAGCACACCAAGGUUCAAGAAGCACAUCACCAAGCUUGCAAGGAAGGGCCUCCCAUCAUCUGACGUACGUACGGUGAGUCUCCCCUCUCUUGGGGCUUCUUCAUCUUCUUUCUUGUGUUUCUUUCUUGCUCAUCUCUUCCAAUCUGUAGCUUGGAUCCAUGGACAUGGACUCCCCGCAGAAGAAGCUUGGAUCCGUGGACGGCGGCAAGACGCCUCCUCUGCUGCUUGCGGCCCAGCUGGCCAAGAAGGCGAUAGCCGCUUCUCCGUUCCCGGACGCACACCCGAUGGCCAGCGCUUGGGCGUUCGUCACCGCCUGGUUCUUCCCCGUCUCCAUCGUCUUGGGCUCCGCCAUCGACCUUCUACUCUGCAGCCAGGUACGUAAUAAUUAACUAGGACUACGACCCGUACUUCUACUCUACUUCUACUAUACCCCCCGGCUCUGGCUGGAUGGAUGCGCCAACUUUGUCUUCGUCUUCCUGCAGCUGCUGUGGUGCCUACUGGAGCGCGAGGGGGGCACGCCCAUAGACAGUGCCCUCUGGAUCGCGCUGUGGUGCUGCCCCGCACUCCAGGCGGUCGUGGCGGCGCUGGCUCUGCUGCUCCCGUCCCGCCACCGCCGGAUCCGCCGUGCCCUUGCCUACCUCGCGGUCUCGGUCGCCAUCGUCGGCCAUUCUUUGAUGGCCAGCCUCAUCCCCCUCUCUGUCGCUGCCCAUCCAGGGACAGGGCUAGGAUACCUCCUGCUCAUCGUCUUGUUCAUCUGCGCCGCGGCGGCGCUGGCGCAGCUGCUCCCGUGCCUCCUGAUGGGGUUAUGUACCUAGGGUAGGGUCAUGGACCUGAUCUAAAUACCUUAUCCAAGGACAUCCUUAGAAGAGGUCGCCUUCCAGUCGACCAACGAAGGACUCACUCGACUGACUUGAAGGACUCGACCACGAAGACUCACUCAACCACCAGGAGGUCAAGAGGCACUCUGCACUGCAACGGCCUGUAAUAAAGUAGGCUUUAUUACAGUAAAGACACUUUAUGUGGGGCGUUACCAGUAACGCCCCAGACUUAACUCACCUUAAACCCUCUCCUACGUGGGCUGGCUGGGGUCCUGGCGCACUCUAUAUAAGCCACCCCCCUCCACAGGAAGAAGGGUUCGGCACCUUGUAACUCAUAUACUCUUAAUCCACUCGACCGCCUCCGGACUCCGAGACGUAGGGCUAUUACUUCUUCCGAGAAGGGCCUGAACUCGUACAUCCCUUGUGUUUACAACCUCUCCAUAGCUAGGACCUUGCCUCUCCAUACCUACCCCCCACUCUACUGUCAGGCUUAGAACCACGACAGUUGGCGCCCACCGUGGGGCAGGUGUUUUAGCGAUUUUGUGGAGAAGUUGCGAUUCUUCCGAGUACUUUCAUCAUGGUGUCUGCUGGAGUUUUGGUCGAGAGUCGAGAGAUCCGUCUCGGCACUCUCACCUUCAUCGCCGACGACUCCGCGUGGCUCCAGGAGGCUCCACUCGACGUUGAUGCGCUUCCCGUUCGCGGUGCGACGCAUUUUCGCGCAUGUGUCCGCGGCGUUCUGCUGCGGCAACCGUCAACCCCGUAUCGGUCGGCUCCUCCAUCGUCCACCCUCCCGGUCUCCCGCCAGCGCAAGCGCUCGGGCCGGCCGAGGCUUCAGCGAUGGGUGAGGCACGCGGUGGCUCGCCAAUCGGCCACCACCCAAGUUGUGGCAAUCGAGCCCGACGAAUCUCUCUACGGCUUGUUCGAUCUGUCGACUGGCUCCGUAGAGACUGCAUCCGAGUGCGGUAGCAGUGAUCCAGCGGCGGAAAUCUUGAUGGUCGACGGGCCCCGCAGUCCCCCUGGCUUCGCCCGUGAUGGUGGAGCAGGUGACGGAGGCGACCCCGCACGAGGCCACGAAGAGUACCAGCCCGAGCCACUCGACUCUCUGCAAAGAGAGGAACUUCGCCGCAGGAACGUGGAUGCCCUGCGUACUCCUAUCACAGGAGAAACCCCCGAGGCUCGUGCCUUAGAGGAGGCACGUUUGGCCAAUUUGGCCGAACGCACUCGACUGGAGAAUCUUCAGCGAGCACUUGACGAGCGCGCGCGGCAACGAGUUCCCGACACCAGUCGACGUCAACUCUUCCCGCCGACUCAGGUAUAUCGAACCCCAAUCCAGAAUUUAGCAGCUGCGACCCGUAUAGCAGAGUCCAUCCAGCCUUCGCAGUCGGAAGCUGGCAGAGGUUUGCUGCAGAUCAGGGAUCUGCUCCGGGCAGCAGGAGAUCAGAAUUCAGCCGUGUCUCAGUCGCGCAACAGAAUUCACAGUCGAUCCGUCACUGCGAAUACGGUUCAGUCGGCUCACAGUCCCAGAUCGCCUCCGCGGCGUGAAGGGCGCGAGAAUCGGCGAGAUCAAUAUGGCGACCGACUCGACCGAGAUGAUAGGCGUCGAGUGCCCAAUUCCCCUCCGAGGGGUGGGUCUUACGCUCCUCGGUGGCAAGAUGACAGGCGUCAGUACAGUACCGGGCGAAGGGUUCCAGUCGACCCCAGAGAACCAGGCUUCGACGCGCGAUCCAUUAUCGUGCAAGGUUUGGUCGACCGGAACAGAGCCCAUCGGGGCGGACUCGACAGAGAUGCGCCCACAAGCAGUCGAGUGCAUGUUUCCGGUCCUGAAUGUUUCAGCAGAGCUAUCAGGGCCGCAGUUAUCCCUCCCAAUUUCAGGUUGGCAACAGGAGUCAGCAAGUUCACUGGUGAGUCUAAGCCUGAAACUUGGCUUGAAGACUACCGAGUGGCAGUUCAGAUUGGUGGUGGGAACGACGAGGUGGCCAUGAAGCAUUUGCCCCUCAUGCUGGAAGGUUCUGCCAGGGCAUGGUUGACUCAAUUACCUCCUAGCAGCAUUUACGCUUGGGAAGAUCUGUCCCGAGUGUUCAUCAGAAUGUUUGAAGGAACUUGCAAGCGACCAGCUGGAUUGACAGAGUUGCAAGUCUGCGUGCAGAAGGCUAAUGAGACUCUCAGAGAGUAUAUUCAGAGGUGGAUCACUUUGCACCACACUGUGGAGAACGUGUCUGAUCAUCAGGCAGUCUGCGCCUUCAAAGAUGGCGUCAAGAACAGAGAACUGAGUUUGAAGUUUGGUCGAACCGGUGACAUGACUUUGAGUCGGAUGAUGGAGAUUGCUACCAAGUACGCCAACGGUGAAGAAGAAGACCGACUCCGAAGCGGCAAGCAUAAGCCGAGUCAGUCGGAAAAAGGAAACACCAGUCGGAAACAGAAGCGGAAGGCUGAACCGGCAGCUCCUGGAGAGGCUCUGGCCGUGACUCAGGGAAAGUUUAAGGGGAAACCAAAAGGAUCCUGGAACCCCAAGAAGGUAAAGGAUAAAGAAGGGAACGACGUAAUGGAUAUGCCAUGUCACAUCCACACGAAGAAAGACGAAGAGGGGAAUAUCAUCUACCCGAAGCACACCACUCGCCAAUGUCGACUCCUGAUCCAGCAGUUUCAGGGAAAACAGUCUAAGGACAAGGAGAAGGAGUCGGACAAGGCUGAAGACAAGGAGGACAGUGAGGAAGGAUAUCCGCAUAUCAACUCCACUCUGAUGAUCUUUGCAGAUGUGGAAAUCAGGAGUCGACUGAAAGUCAUUAACCGAGAGGUGAACAUGGUUGCCCCAGCAAAAGCAAAUUAUCUGAAAUGGUCUCAAAUACCCAUCACAUUCGACCAAUCUGAUCACCCGACUCAUAUUGCCACCCCUGGGAGGCAAGCUUUGGUGGUCGAUCCAGUUGUCGAAGGCACUCGACUGACAAAGGUGCUGAUGGAUGGUGGAAGCGGGCUGAAUUUGUUGUAUGCAGACACACUGAAAGGAAUGGGCAUUCCGAUGUCCCGACUGAGCACUAGUAACAUGAGCUUUCAUGGAGUUAUACCAGGGAAGAAAGCCGAGUCACUCGGCCAAAUAGCUUUGGACGUGGUAUUUGGUGAUUCGAAGCAUUUUCGCAAAGAAAAGUUGAUGUUUGAGGUCGUGGAUUUUCAGAGUGCAUAUCAUGCCAUUUUGGGGAGACCAGCUUACGCACGGUUCAUGGCUCGACCAUGCUACGUGUACCUCAAAUUGAAGAUGCCUGGCCCCAAAGGAGUGAUCACUGUCACCGGUGAUCGGAAAAAGGCAGAAGAGUGCUUUCAGAAGGGCUCAAAGAUUGCCGAUUCCCAGGUGACAACGGUCGAGUUCGAGGAAUACAAGCAAAACGCAGAUCCGAGUGACUUGCUGCGAUCAAAGAAACCCGCCACAGAGUCUGCAUUUCAGUCGUCCGGUGAGACGAAGCCUGUUCACAUUCACCCGACCGACCCCGAUGCAGCUCCGACCCGCAUCUCCACAACACUCGACCCAAAAUAGGAAGAAGCGCUCAUCCAGUUCCUCCGUGAGAACUGGGACAUUUUUGCAUGGAAGCCCGCUGACAUGCCAGGUGUUCCCAGGGGACUGGCUGAGCAUCGCCUAAGAGUCGACUCGUCUGCAAAACCAGUCAAAGAGCAUCUUCGGCGGUCCGCCGUCCAGAAGAGAAAAGCCAUUGGUGAAGAAGUGGCUCGACUGUUGGCGGCAGGUUUUAUCCGAGAGAUAUACCACUCCGAGUGGCUCGCUAAUGUCGUCAUGGUUCCUAAGAAGGACAAGUCGCUCCGAAUGUGCAUUGAUUUUAAGCACAUCAACCGGGCCUGCCCGAAAGAUCAUUUUCCUCUCCCUCGCAUAGAUCAAAUUGUUGACUCGACCGCGGGAUGCGAGAGGCUAUCUUUUUUAGAUGCCUACUCCGGGUACCACCAGAUCCGUCUGUACGGACCCGACGAGGUAAAAACAGCUUUCAUCACUCCAUUCGGGUGCUUCUGCUAUAUCACCAUGCCAUUCGACCUCAAGAAUGCCGGAGCCACAUUUAUGCGAAUGAUUCAGAAGUGUCUACUCACUCAAAUCAGUCGGAAUGUGGAAGCAUAUAUGGAUGAUAUCAUUGUCAAGUCACGAAAAGGUUCCGACCUGCUCGCUGAUCUCGCCGAAACAUUUGCCAACCUCAGAAGAUAUGAUAUCAAGCUCAAUCCAUCAAAGUGCACAUUUGGAGUUCCUGGUGGCAAGUUACUCGGUUUUCUCGUUUCCGAACGGGGAAUCGACGCUGACCCAGAGAAGAUUGGCACUAUUCUCCGAAUGAAACGCCCUGUGCGAGUGCACGAUGUCCAGAAGCUUACUGGAUGCUUGGCCGCAUUAAGUCGAUUCAUCUCACGACUCGGUGAAAAGGCAUUGCCUCUUUACCGACUGAUGAAGAAGACAGACAAGUUCGAGUGGACUCCAGAAGCUGAUGCAGCGUUUGCCGAGCUAAAAGCUCUGCUCUCCACCCAGCCGGUGCUUGCUGCUCCAGUCAGCAAAGAGCCUCUGUUGCUCUAUAUCGCAGCCACAGGACAAGUUGUCAGUACUGUGCUUACGGUCGAGCGGGAAGAAGAAGGAAAAGUUCUCAAAGUUCAGCGCCCAGUGUAUUAUUUGUCUGAAGUCUUGACUCCAUCCAAGCAGAGAUAUCCUCAUUAUCAGAAGCUUGUGUAUGGAAUAUACAUGACCACAAAGAAGGUUGCUCAUUAUUUUUCUGAUCAUUCCAUCACAGUCGUCAGCGACGCUCCACUAUCAGAGAUUUUGCACAACAGAGAUGCAACUGGUCGAGUGGCCAAAUGGGCGAUUGAACUUCUUCCCCUUGAUAUCAAGUUUGAGGCAAAGAAAGCCAUUAAGUCCCAGGCAAUAGCAGAUUUCCUCGCCGAGUGGAUUGAACAACAGCAGCCGACUGAAGUUCACUCGGAGCAUUGGACCAUGUUCUUUGAUGGCUCUAAGAUGUUGAAUGGUUCCGGUGCUGGGGUUGUCCUGGUUUCCCCCAGAGGAGAUAAGCUCAGAUAUGUGCUCCAGAUUCACUUUGAUUCCUCCAACAAUGAGGCAGAAUAUGAGGCCCUCUUAUAUGGGUUGCGCAUGGCCAUUUCACUCGGCGUCCGUCGCCUGAUGGUCUAUGGCGACUCGGAUUUAGUGGUCAACCAGGUGAUGAAAGAGUGGGACGUGAGAAGCCUAGCCAUGACUGGAUACUGCAGUGCAAUGAGGAAGCUGGAAAAGAAGUUCGAGGGGUUGGAGCUCCAUCAUAUACCCCGACUGAAAAAUCAAGCAGCUGAUGAUCUAGCAAAGAUAGGUUCCAAGAGAGAAGCCAUUCCGAGUGGUGUGUUCUUGGGGCAUAUACACACUCCGUCAGUCAAAGAAGAUCCUUUCACCGAAGAAACUCCACAGCCCAAGAGUGCCACAGAUCCGACUGAAGUUGAAGUCCCAGCGGUGGUCGACUUGAUCAUGGAGGUUUUGGUGGUCAUUCCCGACUGGACAGUUCCGUAUGUCGCAUAUAUCCUGAGAAAAGAGCUUCCGGAGGAUGAGGAAGAGGCUCGACAGAUCGUCCGUCGAUCUAAGGCCUUUACCGUAAUCAAAGGACAAUUAUACAGAGAAAGCGCGACUGGAGUUGGUCAGAAGUGCAUAACACCAGAAGAAGGUCGACUCAUCCUCAAUGAUAUUCACUCGGGGACCUGUGGUCAUCAUGCGUCCUCUCGGACCAUCGUGGCCAAAGCAUACCGAGCCGGAUUUUACUGGCCAAAGGCGAAUGAGAUGGCAAAAGAGAUAGUGGAUAAGUGCGAGGGAUGUCAGUUCUACUCGAAUAUGUCGCACAAGCCUGCGUCAGCUCUGAAGACCAUCCCACUCGUCUGGCCUUUCGCAGUAUGGGGACUGGACAUGGUCGGUCCUUUGAGAACAGGACGAAGUGGCUUCACGCAUGUACUGGUGGCAGUCGACAAGUUCACCAAGUGGAUCGAGGCUAAACCAAUCAAGAGCCUUGACACCGGUACUGCUGUUAGCUUCAUCAGGGAACUAAUAUUCAGAUAUGGAGUCCCGCACAGCAUCAUUACGGAUAAUGGGUCGAACUUUGACUCAGAGGAAUUCAGAGAUUUCUGCAACUCCCAAGGCACACGGGUCGACUACGCUUCAGUCGCCCAUCCGCAGUCGAAUGGACAAGCAGAGCGAGCUAAUGGACUGAUUCUUAAGGGAUUGAAGCCUCGACUGAUGCGUGAUCUCAAACACGCGGCUGGAGCUUGGGUCGACGAACUUCCCUCAGUGCUUUGGGGGCUGCGGACCACACCUAAUCGGUUGACCGGAAGAACUCCAUUCUUCUUGGUCUACGGAGCUGAAGCAGUCUUGCCGAGUGAUCUUCUCCACAAUGCUCCUCGAGUUGAAAUCUACAACGAAGCAGAGGCUGAACAAGCGUGGCAGGACGCAGUCGACCUUUUAGAGGAAGAAAGGGAGAUGGCUCUGAUCCGGUCGACCAUCUACCAACAUGAUUUGCGUCGUUUCCACGCCAGAAAUGUGAGAGGUCGAGCCUUCCAGGAAGGGGAUUUAGUUCUCCGAGUGGAUCAGCACAAACCACACAAGCUUGCUCCUUCUUGGGAAGGCCCCUUCAUCGUCACCAAGGUUCUCCACAACGGGGCGUACCGUCUUUACAACGUCAAGCAUAAUAUCGACGAGCCCCGAGCUUGGAACGCGGAGCUACUCCGCCCAUUUUACACUUAAGUUUUAUCACUCGGAUGAGUUGCAAUAAAGUACUUCUGUAGUUCAUGGACCUCAAAAUAAUAGUGUCAUAGUUCCUCCAUAAUUUCUGUCACUUCUUAUUUUUGUCCAAAUAAAAUUCCCCCUCAGUGGGUGACUUAGCCGCGAAUCCGUUUCGCCUAAGUUUGUAAAAAUCCUACCGAGUGAAGAGCGGCCCUCUCACUCGGAGGCUUAGCUGCGAAUCCGUUUCGCCUAAGUUAUCAAAAUCCUACCGAGUGGUAAGCCAGACUUUCACUCGGGGGCUUAGCUGCAGCCCUGUGCUCGCCUAAGUUGUAAAAAAUCCUACCGAGUGAAGAGCAAGCCUCUCACUCGGGGGCUUAGCUGCAGUCCAAGCACUCGCCUAAGUUACAAAAAUCCUACCGAGUGGAGAGCAACCCUCUCACUCGGGGGCUUAGCUACAGUCCAAGCACUCGCCUAAGUUACAAAAAUCCUACCGAGUGAAGAGCGACCCUCUCACUCGGAGGCUUAGCUGCAGUCCAAGCACUCGCCUAAGUUACAAAAAUCCUACCGAGUGAAGAGCGACCCUCUUGCUCGGAGGCUUAGCUGCANNNNNNNNNNNNNNNNNNNNNNNNNNNNNNNNNNNNNNNNNNNNNNNNNNNNNNNNNNNNNNNNNNNNNNNNNNNNNNNNNNNNNNNNNNNNNNNNNNNNNNNNNNNNNNNNNNNNNNNNNNNNNNNNNNNNNNNNNNNNNNNNNNNNNNNNNNNNNNNNNNNNNNNNNNNNNNNNNNNNNNNNNNNNNNNNNNNNNNNNNNNNNNNNNNNNNNNNNNNNNNNNNNNNNNNNNNNNNNNNNNNNNNNNNNNNNNNNNNNNNNNNNNNNNNNNNNNNNNNNNNNNNNNNNNNNNNNNNNNNNNNNNNNNNNNNNNNNNNNNNNNNNNNNNNNNNNNNNNNNNNNNNNNNNNNNNNNNNNNNNNNNNNNNNNNNNNNNNNNNNNNNNNNNNNNNNNNNNNNNNNNNNNNNNNNNNNNNNNNNNNNNNNNNNNNNNNNNNNNNNNNNNNNNNNNNNNNNNNNNNNNNNNNNNNNNNNNNNNNNNNNNNNNNNNNNNNNNNNNNNNNNNNNNNNNNNNNNNNNNNNNNNNNNNNNNNNNNNNNNNNNNNNNNNNNNNNNNNNNNNNNNNNNNNNNNNNNNNNNNNNNNNNNNNNNNNNNNNNNNNNNNNNNNNNNNNNNNNNNNNNNNNNNNNNNNNNNNNNNNNNNNNNNNNNNNNNNNNNNNNNNNNNNNNNNNNNNNNNNNNNNNNNNNNNNNNNNNNNNNNNNNNNNNNNNNNNNNNNNNNNNNNNNNNNNNNNNNNNNNNNNNNNNNNNNNNNNNNNNNNNNNNNNNNNNNNNNNNNNNNNNNNNNNNNNNNNNNNNNNNNNNNNNNNNNNNNNNNNNNNNNNNNNNNNNNNNNNNNNNNNNNNNNNNNNNNNNNNNNNNNNNNNNNNNNNNNNNNNNNNNNNNNNNNNNNNNNNNNNNNNNNNNNNNNNNNNNNNNNNNNNNNNNNNNNNNNNNNNNNNNNNNNNNNNNNNNNNNNNNNNNNNNNNNNNNNNNNNNNNNNNNNNNNNNNNNNNNNNNNNNNNNNNNNNNNNNNNNNNNNNNNNNNNNNNNNNNNNNNNNNNNNCCUACCGAGUGAAGAGCGACCCUCUCGCUCGGAGGCUUAGCUGCAGUCCAAGCACUCGCCUAAGUUACAAAAAUCCUACCGAGUGAAGAGCGACCCUCUCGCUCGGAGGCUUAGCUGCAGUCCAAGCACUCGCCUAAGUUAUAAAAAUCCUACCGACUGAAGAGCAACCCUCUCACUCGGAGGCUUAGCUGCAGCCCUGUGCUCGCCUAAGUUACAAAAAUCCUACCGAGUGAAGAGCGACCCUCCCACUCGGAGGCUUAGCUGCAUCCCAGUGCUAGCCUAAGUUAUCAAAAUCCUACCGAGCAAAGAGUAAACCUCUCACUCGGGGGCUUAGCUGCGGCCCAGUGCUCGCCUAAGUUAUAGAAAUCCUACCGAGUGGUAAGCCGGGCUUCCACUCGGAGGCUUAGCCGCAGCCCAGUGCUCGCCUAAGUGGACUAAAGAAUAAGUCGAUUGCAGUAAAGGCGCCUUGCUUUGAACCUGCAAAAGACAUUUCGAUCCAAAGGCAAUCAUAUUCAAGCACCAAAUUCAAGUUUGAAUCGAUAUCUAAAGGAACCGAAAGUGCUCAGGCGUUAAGCCUGUUAAGGUUUAUCGGUUACAAUUCCACUCGGCAUACCGAGGCAAAUUUAAAGCGUCGAGCCAGAAGAAGUUUUUUACCCCUCCUGUGGAGGGCUGGAAGGUGCAACGAAUUCAUCAANNNNNNNNNNGACCCUCUCACUCGGAGGCUUAGCUGCAGUCCAAGCACUCGCCUAAGUUAUAAAAAUCCUACCGAGUGAAGAGCAACCCUCUCACUCGGAGGCUUAGCUGCAGCCCUGUGCUCGCCUAAGUUACAAAAAUCCUACCGAGUGAAGAGCAAACCUCUCACUCGGGGGCUUAGCUGCAGCCCAGUGCUCGCCUAAGUUAUAAAAAUCCUACCGAGUGAAGAGCAACCCUCUCACUCGGAGGCUUAGCUGCAGCCCAGUGCUAGCCUUAGUUAUCAAAAUCCUACCGAGUGAAGAGUAAACCUCUCUCUCGGGGGCUUAGCUGCGGCCCAGUGCUCGCCUAAGUUAUAGAAAUCCUACCGAGUGGUAAGCCGGGCUUCCACUCGGAGGCUUAGCCGCAGCCCAGUGCUCGCCUAAGUGGACUAAAGAAUAAGUCGAUUGCAGUAAAGGCGCCUUGCUUUGAACCUGCAAAAGACAUUUCGAUCCAAAGGCAAUCAUAUUCAAGCACCAAAUUCAUGUUUGAAUCGAUAUCUAAAGGAACCGAAAGUGCUCAGGCGUUAAGCCUGUUAAGGUUUAUCGGUUACAAUUCCACUCGGCAUACCGAGGCAAAUUUAAAGCGUCGAGCCAGAAGAAGUUUUUUACCCCUCCUGUGGAGGGCUGGAAGGUGCAACGAAUUCGUCAAGGUCAAUUCCGUCGGCGAUCCGAGUGGCAGCUGCAAGGAAAGUUUCCAUAAAGGACCUGAAGUCGUGUUUCUUGGUGUUGGCCACCCGAAGAGCCGCCAGCUUCUCUUCUCGCGCAUCUUUACAGUGGACUCGGGCCAGACACAGAGCAACAUCUGCACCACACCGAGCCGAGGACUUCUUCCAUUCCUGCACUCGACCAGGGAUCGUGUUCAAGCGGGCCAUCAGCGACUCAAGGUCAUUCUGAAGUGUCUCCUCAGGCCAGAGCGUCGAGUCGAUGCGAGAUGUGGCGGCCUUCAGCCUUGCGAGAUAGUCCACGACAGCUGCAACACGAGACUCCAGUCGAAAAACAUCCAUGGCAACUUCGUCGUUCACCGGAGAAUUGACGGGGUCGAGGUUUGGCUCCAGCCGGCUAGUUUCUUCUUCAAAGUUUUGACAAAAUUCUGCAAGGAUGAUCACUAAGUCAAGGGGAUGGUCGAAUGGAAAAACCACAAUUGGAAAUGUUUGCCAAGCAUAGAGGUUUACCUUCAAGCAUAAGAAACAGCUUCUUGGCAAGACCACUCAGGAAGGCCUCCAGAUCAGUUUUCUUCCCAGUCAAUUUGCUGACUUGGUCGGUCAGGGCAGCUUUAUCAGUUUUCAGUCGACUGACCUCCUUGUUGGCGAUCCCAAGAGCAGCUUUCAGAUUGGUAUUGUCUUGUUCAAGCUUGGUGACUGAAGCUAACUUCUCGUCAGCAAGCUUGAUCUUCUCAGCUAGUUCGAGGUCUUUCUUCUGUUGGGCCUCCCUUACCUUACCUGCAAGUUACAGCAAGGUCAGAUUUUUGAAACAAGCAAGGGGAAAAGCAGUCGUCAGGGUCUCACCAAACAUACCUUCGGUCUCCUCCUUUGCCUUCGUCAGCUUCUCCUGAACCAGCUUCAAGCUCAGCUCGAGUUGAGUGUGCUUGUUUUCCAGCUCAGAGUAGCGAGCCACAAGAUCACAAGAGUUCUGCGAAGAACCAAUCGACUAAAUGUCAAAUAUAAUUCACUUCCGAGUGAAAAAGAAGAAAAACACACGUUUCUAAGACUACAGCCGAAUACAAGCAUUCGACCGUAGUCUCGGGGACUACACCCAGUGGGUGCACUCAGCGUGCCCCACUAAUUCUGUUGAAGACAAAGUCGACCAGUCGACCUCAAAAAAAAAGAGAGAUGUAUUCUUUAAGACUGUGAUCAACUGCAAGCAGUCGACCACAGUCUCGGGGACUACACCCAGUGGGUGCACUCAGCGUGCCCCCACCGGUUUGUGAAAUCCAGUCGACAUAGUCGACUGACAGAAAGAUUGACAUCAUAAAGCCUAAGGCCGACUGCCAGCAGUCGACCUUAGUCUCGGGGACUACACCCAGUGGGUGCACUCAGCGUGCCCCCACCGGUUUGUGAAAUCCAGUCGACAUAGUCGACUGACAGAAAGAUUGACAUCAUAAAGCCUAAGGCCAACUGCCAGCAGUCGACCUUAGUCUCGGGGACUACACCCAGUGGGUGCACUCAGCGUGCCCCCACCGGUUUGUGAAAUCCAGUCGACAUAGUCGACUGACAGAAAGAUUGACAUCAUAAAGCCUAAGGCCGACUGCCAGCAGUCGACCUUAGCCUUGGGGACUACACCCAGCGGGUGCACUCAGCGUGCCCCCGCUAACACGGAGUUUAAUCGACACACCCAGUGGGUGACUACUAUAAAUUCCGGAAAGGAAAAGUUUUUGGUUGCAUAUCCAACAGAACAAACAGUGGUCGACUGACCUGAACAUUGCUUUGGAGGGCAGAACUGGCGUCAUAAGCUGCCUGGCUUGCAUCCCGGAUGGUCUUUAACUGCUCCAUCAUGAUUCCCGCCUGGCGUAUCGCUUCCUUCGCCGCGCCAUCUUGGUCCUCUGGGACGUGGUGCAUCGUGAAGAGGGAGGGCUGCUGAGCACUCGUCAAUGGAUCUGCGAAGGACACCGUGUGUCGAGUGGUGUUCUCUUCCUCCGCAAUCAGAAUCUCAGGCGCCGUCACAUCCUGGGGCACCUUACUGGCGGACGCUUUCCUACUUCUCCUGCGCUUCAGUGGUUCUUCAUCCUCAUCAUCAUCAGGAAGAUUGAUAACAGCAGUGGGUGGAGCUACAAAGAAGAAUCAGGAUCAGAGAUCGCGAGUCAGUCGACUAAGAACGGCGUUAAGAAUACAGUACCUGGUUUCGAAGUUGCUGCGUCCUCCAUCUCAUGGUCAUCAGCCCGGGCUGAGGUUUCAGAAGUAGCAGCACUGCAACUCCAAAGGAUCAGUCGACUAACUUCAGCGUCGACCAGAGACAAAGUUCACACAAAAUAAGAAGAUUCAAACAGCACGAUUACCCUGAUAUGGUAGGGAUGGACACCUUCAUCUUCGGUAGGAGCUUAAUCGUCUUCGACGGGGCCGCCCUGGGCUGCUUCGGCGCCUUUUCAGUCGGCACCGGAGAGGUGGUUCGAGGGCGCUUAGUCGACUGAACAACGGUCGCAACCCCCUUGCCACGUUCAGUCGAAGGGUCGUGGACAAGCUUCGACGGCCUUUCUGAGCGCGGUGGUACGACCUCCUCCUCCUCUUCUUCCUCAUUCUCAACGUCAUCUUCAUCACCGUCAUCAUCAUCAUCGUCGUCAUCAUCCUCUGCAACGUCCGAGUCCCAUUCCUCCUCUUCCUGGCUCUCGCCCCCACUCGCCUCACCCUCCUCAGUCGGAGCUUGUGCCUCAUUGGGCAUCGAGUACAGUUCGGUGAGAGCCUAGCAGAUAUCAAGACAAGGAUCAGUCGACCAGUCGGCAGGAUAAACAGAAAUGAAUGCGACAAGAACACAGUGGGGAGCAGAGCAAAUGUACCUUGUUUGGAUCGCUGUUGUGGUCGAGUGGAGGAAUCCUUCUGGCUCCGCGUGGGUUGUCCUUGUUUCCGGUAACGGCUACCAUCCAUCUUUCCAGAGUGACAUCGUCGACUGCUUCUGGAUGGACUCGAGUCUCGUCUUCAGUCCCACAGUACAACCACAUGCAGUGGCUCCGGAACUGAAGGGGCUGGAUGCGACGCCUGAGGAAGACCUCCAGGAGGUCCAUGCCCGUCACUCCCUCCCGAACCAACUGCACCACGCGCUCCAUCAACAUCUUCACGUCAGCUUUCUCCUCCGGAAUCAACUUCAGAGAGGAGGGCUUGUUCACUCGGUCCAUGGUAAACUGUGGGAGUCCACUCGACUGCCCCGGUGUCGACUGGUCCUGGCAGUAGAACCAGGUCGACUGCCAGCCUCUGACUAACUCGGGAAAGGUCAUGGGCGGGAAGGUGCUCUUAUUCCUCACCUGGAUGCCCAGACCCCCACACAUUUGGACAACUCGGGUCCUUUCAUCGCCUGGGCUCGCCUUCUUCACGGUCUGAGAGCGACACGUGAAUAUAUGCUUGAACAAACCCCAGUGCGGUCGACAGCCCAGGAAACCUUCACACAUGGACACGAAUGCGGCAAGAUAGUCGAUAGAAUUUGGGGUAAAGUGGUGGAGCUGCGCUCCAAAGAAGUUCAAGAAGCCACAGAAGAAAAUACUCGGCGGCAAAGAAAAUCCACGAUCAACAUGGAUGGCCAAGAGCACACACUCACCCUCUUCUGGCUGGGGCUGCCACUCCUUCCCUGGAAGCCUCGCAGCUCCAUGAGGGAUCAAGCCCUCGUUGGCCAUGUCGAGGAGGUCUUUUUCUGUGAUGGUCGACUGGAUCCAGUCUCCUUGGACCCAGCCGUUCGGCAGGCGGGAUCUGGACGAAGACCCGCCGCGGCUGGUAGAUCUCCCCUUCGCCUUCUCCGACGCCGACGCCUUCUUCGCACGUUCCAGCGCCGCCGUCUUCUCCUUGGCCAUGGUUGCCGGCGAGAUGCACGUGGGGAAGUUGUGCGGGGGCGAGAGCGAGCGCGCUGGACGGGGACGAAGGGAGCAGAGAGAGAGAGAAUGCUGAGGCACAGUACAGAAAUCCUCGCCGGGCGCAUUUAUAAGGUCCCUUCCGAGUGGAUGACAGGUGGGCCCGGUCGAUCUAAUCAUAUCCAGGAACAGUUAUGCAGAUGGGAUACGUGGCGAAGAAAGCGGCGCGGAGAUCGAGGCGUCUAUGUCCCGUCCCAUCCGAACGCCGCGGUCCGCUCCGCUUCGCGCGCGUCCCCAAAUUUCGCAUCCCGCGGAAUCCGCGAACAGCAGAUCAGUCUGUCAGACAUGGGGUUUCCUGCGAUCCGUCGCUCGGAGAUCGUCGAAGCCCGAAAGAUCACUCGACGAAAGAAGAGAAUGGAUCGAGUCGACUGAAGACAAGUUGCUCACUGUCGACGAAGAGAUUCUUUGGUCCAGAACAGCGCACGACCAGAGCGCAAAGGUUAAUCGGAAACGACAUCAACUCCUUCCUCACUCGAAGCCUCAAUCCAUUCGGGGGCUAAUGAUGGGGUUAUGUACCUAGGGUAGGGUCAUGGACCUGAUCUAAAUACCUUACCCAAGGACAUCCUUAGAAGAGGUCCCCUUCCAGUCGACCAACGAAGGACUCACUCGACUGACUUGAAGGACUCGACCACGAAGACUCACUCGACCACCAGGAGGUCAAGAGGCACUCUGCACUGCAACGGCCUGUAAUAAAGUAGGCUUUAUUACAGUAAAGACACUUUAUGUGGGGCGUUACCAGUAACGCCCCAGACUUAACUCACCUUAAACCCUCUCCUACGUGGGCUGGCUGGGGUCCUGGCGCACUCUAUAUAAGCCACCCCCCUCCACAGGAAGAAGGGUUCGGCACCUUGUAACUCAUAUACUCUUAAUCCACUCGACCGCCUCCGGGCUCCGAGACGUAGGGCUAUUACUUCUUCCGAGAAGGGCCUGAACUCGUACAUCCCUUGUGUUUACAACCUCUCCAUAGCUAGGACCUUGCCUCUCCAUACCUACCCCCACUCUACUGUCAGGCUUAGAACCACGACACCUCCCCCUCCGGAUCCGCCGUGCCCUCGCCUACCUCGCGGUCGCCAUCGUCGGCCUCUGUGUUUUGGCCAGCUUGGUCCUCCCCGCCGACACAAGACUCCUCAUCUUCUUGAUCGGCUACUCGGCGAUAAUCUUCACCCUGGGGGUGGGCGACCUCCUCAGCUUCCUGGCCCUCCUCCUGGAAGGUGAGGAGGAGUAGCUGCUGAUCGGCAAGCCGCGAGCUCCAUGUCCAUGGAUCAGCUCAUGAGAUACCCACGCACGUGACAGCUGAUGAGUAGUUGUACGUGGUAGUAACUUGAUCAUAGAUCUCGUACCACUUAACCUGCCUAGUAUUGGACCUUAAUUUGAUGUGGAGUUAAUUAGCCUGUUAUUUGUGUAAUGUGGAGCUUGCCUGAAUUAGUAUUGAUGAACAGGCUAUACAAUUAUAUGGAGUACGUCUUAAUUUGAUGUAGUAUUAGUUGGACCUUUUCUCUGUAUGCAUGCCUAGCUUGGGUAUAUAUAAUUGAUGUUGGUGAAAUCGUUACC
rnacentral:lncRNA from 1 species